GGCGCUUAAGGUUUGUCAAGAAGUGUUGGAUUUAUCGAUUGAUGACUUGCAAUUGUCGUUUGAUAAGAUGGGGGAAUACGAUAUGAGUAAGAUCGAUGAUUACUUACUGAACCUGAGAGUGUGGUUAAGCGGUGCCUUAACUACCCAACAAACAUGUGUAGACACAUUCGCGGAGGUAAGUAAUGAACAAGCGGAGAAGAUGAAAUUAGUGCUGAAGACUUCCAUGGAGCUUACCGCUAAUGCUUUAACCAUGGUCACUAAGUUAUCCACCGUCCUGAAAGACCUUAACAUUCCAGGCCUCGAAGGCAUCGACACGACUGGGUUUGAACGUAAGCUCUUGUCUAAUGAUGGACCUGAGUGGAUGGGCCAUGCUGAGAGGAAACUACUUCAGGCACCAAUUAUUAAGCCUGAUGUUGUGGUUGCUAAGGAUGGUAGUGGGAAAUAUGACACCAUCACCAAGGCCUUGGAAGAAGUCCCUAAGAAAAGUCCCAAUCGAUUUGUUAUUCACAUUAAGGCUGGUAUUUACAAGGAAAAAAUCAAUGUGACCAAGCAAAUGACUAAUGUUAUGUUCAUCGGUGAUGGCCCAACCAAGACCAUUAUCACCAAUGACUUUAACUGCAUUAAGAAUCAUCCGCUUAAAACAUUUCAAACUGCAACUGUUGGUAAGUAGUAUUAUGUACAUAUAAGUUUGGUGGUGACAUGAGGUGACUAACUAGUAUAUAUGUUUGUGAAAUAUUGUAGGUGUAGAUGGGGUCGGUUUCAUGGCCAAGGACAUUGGAUUCGAGAACACAGCAGGACCCGAAGGUCAUCAAGCAGUGGCCUUUAGGGCAACUAGUAAUAAAGUCAUCAUGUUCAACUGCCAUUUCAUUGGGUACCAAGACACCCUUUACCCUCACAAAGGGCAACAAUUUUAUAGAGAUUGUGUCAUCAGUGGGACGGUGGACUUCAUCUUUGGGGAUUCGGCGAGCGUGUUCCAGAAUUGUUUGAUCAUUGUGAGGAAGCCAAGUGAGAACCAACACAACAUGAUUACAGCACCUGGAAGGCAAUAUAUAGACACUGACUCAGCCCUUGUACUUCAAAACUGUACCAUCACGGGUGCCCCUGAUUACCUUCCGGUGAAGGACAAGAGUAAGACGUACCUUGGUCGUCCCUGGAAACCCUUGGCGAGAGCCAUCAUAAUGCAAUCUACAAUCGAAGACAUCAUUACACCAGAGGGUUAUGCCCCCAUGGACGGCACCAAAGGAUUGGACACUGCCUACUUUGCUGAGUUUGAAAACAAGGGACCUGGUGCCAAAACUGAAGGUAGGGUCACAUGGCCAGCUAUCAAGAAAAUUGAUACAAAUGAAGCCAAGAAAUGGACCCCUGGCGUCUUUCUUGGAUCUGACCAAUGGGUUCCACAAGCCGACAUUCCUUAUUAUCCUGACAUGGUCCCUGUAGUGUAAACUUCCAAAACCAUCGCCAUUAGUCUUUUAUUAUUAUUAUUAUUAUUAUUAUAUAUCCUUCUCCGAUUCGAGAAUAAAAGGAAAAAUUCAUCAUUAUUAUGGAAGUUGCAAUCUGUAAUUAUUUUCUUAUUAUAGAAUUAAAAGUAAUAAUAUGUUAUUAGAGAUACAUACAAAGUCUAACCAACUUAAUUUCUGAUUAAUUAUUUUGGAUUAAAUAGUUAAAAAUUUAAAGUUAUAAGAGGCUUUAAGUUAAAAUUAAAUUUAAUCCCUAAUUUUUUUUAUUAAAUUUAUUGGUGUGACAUUUUAAAUUUUAAAAAAAAACUCACUUGAUAAUAAUAUCACAAAAAAAUAUCUUUAUAAUAAACUUGAAUUUAACAAAAAAAGAAAAAGAAAAAAAGAAGAGGCUAAUUAGCAAUUCUUUAAAUUUAUCUUAGCAUUUUAAAUAGAUUAACUAAUGAUCUUAUAUAAAAAGAAAACUCAAAUCUUAAAUAUAGUACUAUUUUUAUAUAAUUAAAAAGUAGGAGCCUUCCUUUGAUAUGUAGUAGUAUAGUAUAGAUAUGCUUUUAAACAAAAAAAAAAAGAGCUAUGUAUACCAUUAAAUGAAAUAAUAUGUCUUAAUAUAUUUUAAUUAAUAUAAACACAGUUUUUAAUAUUUUUAAUUUGUAAUUAUCAUUUAACAUAAAUAAUAUUUUAAUUUAUAAAUAUACUAUUGAAUACAAAUAUUAUUUUUGAAAAUGAUAUAUUUUCUAUAAUUUUUAUUUUGGUGUUAGCGUGGUUGCAAAAUUGGCCACCUCCGUCUGGGUGUUAAUCCUCGGGAUUGGGAACCUAUUAUUCAAACGGUAAGGUCCAAGCUUCCGCAAUGGAAACGAAAGCUUCUUAGUUUUGCGGAACGCCUUACGGAACGCCUUACUCCUUACCCUGGGGAGGUUACAUAGUGAAUCGGAAAGGAAAUUAGCACGUGUUAAAUGGGAAGUGGUGUGCAAAAGCAAGAAAGGAGGAGGUCUUGGGGUUAUGAAUUUACAGCUCCAAAAUCAAGCUCUCCUAGCCAAGUGGCUUUGGAAAUGUGCCAGCGACGCCAAUUCUGUCUGCCUUGGUCAAAACCUCAAUCCAUGCCGAAUUUUGGGCGUUGCAUCAUAGAAGAUGUUAAGUUUAUUGACUGUAAUUAUUUUUCUUGGUUUGUUAAUUCAGGUAAGGGUGUUCUACUUUGGAUCGAUUGGUGCUGUGGUGAGAAACCGAUUAAAGAUUCUUUUCCCAGUCUUUUUGCUCUCGCUUUAAAUUAAUGGGCAAAAGUUGUUGGUUACGCCAUUGAUGGUAGCCUUGAUCAUGAUAGCUGGCAUUGAUUCUUCGUCCGAUGCUUCCUUGAUCGGGAUAUCUCAGCUUCAAGCCUUGGUCAAGCAUACUACGUUGUUUCAACACUUGAAAGAUGGAAUUAUAUGGCGCCACGAUCCCAAGGGACAAUUUUCUGUUCAGAAACUCUCGGCUAUUCUUUUACAUUCUGAUAAUGGUAACACUUUUAAAACAAUAUGGUCUAUUGCUGUCCCGCGUAAGAUUCAAAGCUUUAUAUGGAUGGUCCUUAUUGACCGCAUCCCCUCGACGUCAUUUCUUAUUCAAAGUCCAGAGCAAUCUCUUUGUCCCAUGGUGUGUAGAAGAACCAUUGAAUCGACAUAUCAUGUUCUCUUCACUUGUAAUUUUGAGUGGUGGAAAUUGACCUGUUGCCUACAAAACUCUUUAAAAAGACUUGUUAGUGGAAUGUCUUGGAACAGUUUCCCAGCACAAAGGUCGUAAAGAGUGGCUCUCUGGUCCCUAUGGCUUGCUCAUAUGAAAUCUCUUUCUCAAGACCAACUUCUUUUAACUACGAUGGUGCUGAUCAGGGAUUUAAAUAGCGGUCCGUUACCGAAAUAGCGGCCGUUAUAUAGCGGUAACGGCACCGUCCGAAACCGCUACUGUCGAAACCCGCUAUACCCGCAAUACACAAUAAGUAAUGUAAAAUUCACGACCGCGAUACCUGCAAUGACCGCAAUAGCAUCCGUUAUGUCCGCAACCGCGAUAAACGCAAUGCGACCGAAAACGCGACCGCAACCGCAAUUUAAAUCCCUGGUGCUGAUAUCUCCCAAGGCUUUGGGUGGGAGAAUCCAUGGGAUUGUGAAAAGGUUCUAAAUGGCCCCCACCACCCUUGGGAUAUUUGAAAUUUAACGUCGAUGCAUCAGUAAAAGGCAACUCUUCAGGUUGUGGUGGCAGUCUUAGAGGACCAAAUGGGAGUAUCCUUGCUCUCUUCCCUGCAGCAGCUGCUAAUACUUGCGGUGUUUGCGGAGCUGAGUUAAGAGCCAUCAAAAUGGCAUUGGAGCUAUUUGUCAAUGCUGGUAAGUUCGAAUCUCAUGGUUUGUUGAUUGAAUCAACUGCUGUGGAAAUUCUGCUAUUACUUUCAUCAACAUCUUUAGAGAAGCGGAAUGUCUCGACAUGUUCCUUUGGUGGUAAGCUGAUGCGGUUUGUUCCUUAUUCUGGGUAUCGCCUUAUGUUUGGUGUCUUUAUUUAUAACAUUUGCUUAUGAUUUUAUCCUAUUAAUAAAACUAUACCUUUGCUGAUAAUAAUAAACAAAAUCAAACAAACCAUUGAGGUAAAUUAAUCAAAAUAAUUAUACUAUUUAAUUAAAAUAUAAAAUAAAAUGUAUGAAAUAGUGCAUACUAACGUAAAAAAAAUCAUGUUUUAUGAAAAUGUGGCUACAAAUAUAAUCUUGUAAUUUUUAUCACAAAAGUUUGUAUUUUUAAUUAUAAUUGAUGUAAUUACUAAUUACUCAAAUUUAAGUUAUACUUGUAUAAUAAACUGAUCUUGAAUAUAAUCAAAAUUACUUUUAAUAAUUUUAUUAAAUUUGCUUAUGUCUGUUGGUUGAAGUCCCCAUCGAUUUAUUAUUUACAUUAAGGCUGGUACUUAUAAGAAACAAGUCAUUUUGACUAUGGAUAUGAUAUCGAUUAAUGUUAUGUUCAUCAGUGAUGGCCCAACCGAGACCAUCAUCACCAAUGACCUUAACUGCAUUAGGGAUCAUCUGCUUAAAACAUUCGGCACUGUAACUAUUGGUAAGUAGUAUUAUAUACAUAUAAGUUUUGGUGGUGAGGUGAGAUGACUAACUAGUACGUAUGUUUGUGAAAUAUUGAAGGUGUACUGGAUGGGGUUGGUUUCACGGCCAAGGACAUUGGAUUUGAGAACACAACAGGAGACGCUGAUAAUCAAGCAGCGGCUUUUAGGGCAACAUGUGAUAUGGUCAUCAUGUUCAAUUGUCAUUUCUAUGGGUAUUGAGACACCCUUUAUGCUCACAAACAGAAACAAUUUGUAACACCCCCUAACUCUAAACCGUCACCAAAAAAAGGUUUAGAGCAUUACCAGAGUUUACAGAAUAAUUACACACAAUUCCAUUAUUUUCUUAUGUUUAUGUCAAAGCUGUCUUCUUGAGCAGCAGUCACUAAAAUAUUUAUAACUGGAGCUAUGAAACUCCAAAUUAAGUUCCGUUAAUUUUUGUUAAAACUAGACUCAUAUACCAUUCUACCAUGAAAUUUUCAGAAUUUUUGAUUUAGCCAAUUAAUACAGUUUAUUCCUCAAAGUUACCCCUGGUGUGCUGUUUGACAGCUUCGACCUUUCUUUACUAAAAUUUAAUUAUCUCAUAGCAUAGGACUCGGAUAAUGUUCCCAUUUAUUUCUCUUGAAAAUAGACUCAUUAAAGAUUCUAUGAAUAUAAAUUAUAGCCCAUAAUUAUUUUUAUACAAUUUUUAAUGAUUUUCCCAAUUAAAAAUAGGGAAUUCCAAAAUCAAUCUGACAUUGUCUCACAAAAAUUUAAAUUCAUACUAAAUUAGUCAAAUCCUAUUUUAUACCAUAACCAAACCUAAAUUUAUCUAUUUCAUCCUUACAUUUAUAAUUUUAAAUUGACACACACAUAAGACAUCUUAGGUACAUGCCAUUACCCAUAAUUAACACACUUUACCUCAUUGAAUUCGGGAUCGGCCUGGGAUACUGAUUCAACGUUCUAUCUUUACUUAACCUACGCACGGAAACAAACCGUGCGCUUUCCGUGCGCUGAGUAUGGUAUACUCAAUGGUAUUUCUAUAAUCCGAACACUUGAUAAUAUAAGAAUUAAACUUAAAAUCACAAUAACAAAUAUAACUAUUCAUUUAUUUAUUUUAUAGAUAAGUUUCAUUUACUUACCAUAAAAAUUCUAUACAAGCCAUAUAACAAACACAACAACAUAUUUGCUCAAUUCUUUUCAUUUGCUUACCGUAUAAAUUAUUUACAAUAUAUUCACAAUUCACUUGUAUUCACACUUUACUUCUUAACAAUAUACCAUUUUAAUUCUUUCUAACAUCAAUCAUCAUCCAUUUGAACUUCACUCAUUUCAUGAACCUUUUGGUUCAUGUUUUCAAUCUCAUAUCUCAAUUUCAAUUCUCAAUUCAAUUUCUCAUUUCAUUCCAAUAGCUCAAUCAAUCAAAUUCACUCGAUUUAUCUUUUCAUUUAUUUACCCCUAUUAACAAGACUCGGACUCUGAUAGAUACGUGGAUUCCUCCCAAACACACCAGAAUAUCCAACCCAAACACACCCGGAAUAUUAUAAAUCCUCCAUAACACACCAGUAUAUCAUAUCCUCCCAAACACACCAAUAAGGCAUUAAAUGCCUCUUCGGAUAAACCGAAGUAUAUAAUAACAGAAACAUCUUCUCGGCCGAACUACAAAUCUCCUCAUCACAUCACAAAUUCAAUGGCAUGCCAUUUGUAUCCAAUUUGGUCCGAUACUGUUAAUAGGGUAUUUGUUUCAUUUUCUCAAUUUAAUAAAUCUUUCAUCAAUAUACCAUUCUAAUAAUCACAUAUAUUCACACAUUUUCACAAUUUCAUACAUUUUCAUUCAAUUCAACAUAUAUAUUUCAAUUAUUCACAUUAAUUCAUAAUUCAAUACAACUCAAUUCACUUUUCAAUAUGAAAUAUUCAAUUAUCACAGAUCUCAUAUAUUCAUAUCAAUUCCCUCAUAUUCCAAUCAAUAUAAUAUUUCAAUAUAACAUUGAUUCAAUAUUCAAAUUUUUACAUAAAUCAUAUAUAUAUUAUAUAUUUCAAUCAAUAUAAAUUCAAUCAAAAUGAUUUCAAUCAAUAUAAAUUUGAUAAAUUCAUCACAUACCAAAAUCAAUCCAUUUCAAUUGUAAAACAUCAUAAUUCUAACACUAACAAUUGUCAUAUGUAUAUAAAUAUAACAAAUAAUGACUGAGUUCGGAUUAUAGAAAUACAAACCGUAUUUUCUUGAGCUAACUCCUCAACGAUCUUUUCUUUUCCUUUAGAUGCCGAUGCCUCGUUUUCCUUGUUAGCUAAAAAUAAUAAAAAUUUACAUUAUUAAUUACAGUAUUAAUUUAAAUAAUUAAUUAAAUUUCUACUCAAUUUAUGCCUAAUGUUCGUUUGGUUGCAACUCCCAAAUUUUCUUCAUACUUUAUCCGAAAUUAUUAGUUGUUGUUCUGACUUCAUCAAUAACUUUAUAUUUCAUCCGGAUAUAUUACUUUAUUGCUCUAGUUUCAACAAUAACUUCAUAUUUCAUCCAGAUAACUUAGUUAUUUUCUUUCCUUUUUUUUUUCUUCCUAUGUGAAAAACCCAAUAAAACUCUUGCUAGUUGAAAAUUCAUAUAUUUAUUUCAUACUUCAAUUCUAUUCAUUUUCUUCCAUAUUCAUCCUAACUAUCAAGUAUUCAUAAUAUAACCCUAAUUUAAAAUUUCUUUUAAUUUAAUCCCUCUAAUACAAAACUUAUAGCUUAACUUACAAUUUAAUCCUUUAUUAAUUCUAACUUAAAAUUUAUUCAAUUCCAUCCUUAAUAUAUCUUUUUCUUCAACAUGAACCAUGCUUAGAAAUCUCAUAACUUUCAAAAUUUCCACUUAAAACAAGUAGUAUUUAUCUCUAGGAUUCCAAAAACUCAAAAAUCAUAAGAAAAUGGGCUAAAUUGACUUACCAAAUUAACUUGGAACCUUUAAAACUUUAUUUUUCCCUUUUUCUUUUCUUCCUUUCUCCCUUCGCUGUUUCGUCCCCUCUAUUCUGUUUCUUUUCUUCUUUUUAUUCUUUUUGUUUCUUUCUUUUGUUUCUUUUAUAUAUAUAUAAUGACAAUAAUAACUAUAUUAAAAAUCUAUUUAAUAACAAAUAUUUAUUUAUCACUUGUACCAAUCAUUUUUAUACACUUGUUUUUCUUUUUUUUUAUAUAUUUAUAUAUAUUUAAUAUUUUAAUAAUAUACUUAUAUAAUAAGUAAACAUAUAUGAAUUUUAUAAAUGUAUGUAUACUAGUAUUACACAUGUCAUUAUACAUACCAUAUAUUUGUCAUUCUUUUCUUUAUUUAUCAAACAAAAAUCUCAUUAUUUAAUUAUUUAAUUAAUAAAUAUCUUUUAUUCUAAAAUUAAGUAAAUAUACAAUUAUAUUCCAAGUGUUCAAAUACAUAUAUUACACUUGUAUAAUUUUAUCAUCAUACAUUUGUCUUUAUUUAAAUUUAUUUUAUAACAUAAUAAUUUAAUAUCAAUUAAAUAAUAAUAACCAUAAUAAUAAAUUAAUUAAUUAAUAUAAGAAAAUCCUAGACUCUUCCAUCUUUUGCCGCCUAAAUUCAUACAUUAGGCAUAAUUGCCUACUUGGUCCUUUUUAUUUUCUUUUAAUCUACAAUUUAACUUUCAUCCUUUAUUCAAUUUAGUCAUUUUUCCUAAUUACUCUUAAUUAAGCUAAAUUCACUUAAUUAAAACUCUAAUUAACCACUCGAUUAACUUAAUAAAUAUUUUUAAUAAAUAUUUUCUAAUCCAUUUUUCAGAAACAGUGACCCGAAAAUACACUUUUCUAAUAACCUUAAAGUUUGGGUCAUUACACAAUUUUAUAGGGAUUGUCUCAUCAGUGGGACGGUGGACUCAUCUUUGGGGAUGUUGCGAGCGUGUUCCAAAACCAUCUGAUCAUCGCGAGGAAGCCAGGUGAAAACCAAAACAACAUGAUUACUGCCCACGGAAAGAAAUUCCCAUACAUUCACUCAGCUAUUGUGCUUCAAAAUUGUACCAUCUCGGGCACCCCUAACUACCUCUUGUUGAAGGACAAGAGCAAGAUGUACCUUGGUCGUCCCUGGAAAGCUUUGGCAAGGGCCAUCAUAAUGCAAAGCAAUAUUGAUGACAUCAUUACACUAGAGGGUUACUCCCCCAUAGAAGGUAUCGGUUACUUUGUAGAGUUACAAAACAGUGGACCCGAUGCCAAAACCGAAGGCAGGGUCAAAUGGCCAGCUAUUAAGAAAAUCUAUAUGAAUGAAGCCAAGAAAUGGACUCCUGACGUCUUUCUUGAAAUUGAAACUAACAAAUGGAUUUCGCAAACCGGCACUCCUUGUUAUCUUGACAUGGUCUAUGGAGUGUAAACUUCCAAAACCAUAGCCAUUAGUAUUAUUUUAUUAUCAUUAUUUGUAAUCAUACUGUCAAUUAUUGAUUAAUUUAAACAAAAUUUUCCUAUUUUUUAUUUAUAAUAAUAAUAUUCUACCCUUAUCCAAGGUAAAAGGGGAAUCAUAAUUAUUAUGUAUGGUCGACUGUGAAAUUAUUUUCUCAUUCCCUUAAUAAAAAAAUAGGGAAUAGUUUAUAUUAAGAUGAUAGUAAAAUAUAUAAUUUAUACAACUUUUGAAGAUGUACAAAUAUUAUUAUACACAUUCAUAUAUGAUAUCUUUUUUAAGUUACCUUUUUAUCAAAUAACUUUAAUUGAGUUACUUAAAAUUAAUUAAUUUUUUUAUUAGAAAAACAAAACAAACACAUUAAAACUAAUGCAACAAAGAAAACAUAAACAAAACAAUUGGAAAUUAAAAAUGAUGAAAUCAAUAGAUUGAAAUCAAUAGAUAAAAAAAGGGGGUGAAAAUUUAAUGUAAAAAAUUGAAAUCAACAACUAAAAAUUAAGAAAAACUUUGGUAAAAAUUUAAAAUUUGAAAACUUAUCACCAUAAAUGGUGACAUUAUCAAAUUUUGGUAUUUAAUUAAAAGUUAAAAUAGAAAAUUAAAAAUGAAAAAAAUUGACUGCCUACAAGAGAAUAAAAGACAAUUAAAUUUCAGAAAAAACUAAAAAUGAUUAAAAUAUUAUAAGGGAAAAAAUUCAUUUUUGUUUAUUUAAUAAAAAAGUAAUUAUUUUUAAAUAUUUUAAUUAAAGUUAAAAAAUUCAUAUAUGAAUAGGCAUUCAAUAAUACUUAUAUGUUUUUAAAAAUUGAUAAUGUGACUAUUUCUUUGGUGACUAAAACUAUAUAUUUUAGAAUGAUCAUAAAAUAAAUUAUUCUAAAAAUACAAUAUGUCAUUAUUAGAGAUAGAUAUAAAGUCUAAUAUGCUCUUAAGCUAUGAAACUAUUCUUGAAAUUAUUAGAGAUAAAUAUGAAAUUAUUCUUGGAAGAGCAUCAAAUACUCCUUAAUUUCGACUUCCAUUAUAGAGGUUGAGUUCGUUUCAUGUUUUGAGGCUACCUCACAUGGAGUAUGAUUGAAGAGUUUCACAUCCGAGUUUAGAUUUGUGGAUUCGACUUCUAUACUGUUGAUGAUAUAUUGUGACAAUUCAACUACAGUCUUUAUGGUUAAGAACAACAAAAGUGAAAGUCGAAGUAAACAUAUCGACAUUAAGUAUUUAGCUAUAAGGGGACAUGUUAAAGAAAAGAAAGUGGUCAUUGAACACAUUAACACUGAACAAAUGUUAGCUGAUCCUUUGACUAAAGGCAAGCCACCACACAAAGUUAAAGAUCAUACUGUCACUAGUAUCACUGAAUUACUAAUUAAUUGUUAUUAUUACUAGUAUUUAUGGACAAUACGAACCAAGUAGGAGAAUGAUGAAUGUGUUUUAUGGUUUGUGGGAAUAGCCCCAUGUUUGCUUCCAUUGCUAACAUUUUUGAUCCACUUUCACUUUGUAUGUGUGGUAGUGGGACAUGUUUUGGCGGUUUUUGAUGGGGAACCACCGCUAUAAAUCCUCCCAAGCAUAAAAAAAAUUCCAUUUAAUGAAGUUUUCGAGUGCUUAGAAGACUUUGGCGAUUUUCGUGUUUUCAUAUAGCUAAAUUUGACGUCCUUGCCGGUUGUUUGACACACUCAAUAGUGGUGUUACAAAGCCUAGAUUUUACAUAUGGUUCAUGCAAUAUUCGGAGGUAUUUAUGUUCGAUAUUUUCCGCUGCACUUUAACGUUUAAACUGUAAUUUAUACUUACAUUUAAAAUUUAAUUAGUUUUUUAAAUAUUAUAAUUUUAAUUCUAGUAAUUAGCCUAAAACAAUAUUUCUUAUUUUAAUUGUUAAAUAUAAUUAAAAUAUAUUAACAAUUAGUUUAUUAACUCAAAUAUUAUAAUAAAAAAUUUAAAUAAUAAUUAAAAAAAGUUGGCAUCAUAAUUUAAGUUGAUAAUAAAAUAGAAUACUAAAUAAAAAUAAAAUAUUGUAUAUUAUACAAAAAAAAUUAAUACAAAAGUAAAAAAAUAAUAUAUUGUAGUUAAUAAUAUAGUUUUACUUAUUUGUUUAUUCUUUGGCUCUUUCAAAUCAUCAAAAAUAUAAACACAUUUGUAAAUUGUAGAAGUUGUUUUUGUAACCAUAGAAUUCAAAUUUAUUAUGAAUGAUAAUAAACCUACAAAAAGAUAUAUAUAUAUACUAUGUAUAGAUUAUUUUCUUCUAAUUUUUUAAUUAAUACAUAAAACUAUUGAAAAUAAUAUAAGCAUGCAUCAAUAAUAGUUCAUCAUAACUACGAAAAAUAUUUACAUUAAAUUAAUUAAAUAUGAAAGAGAUUUACAUUAAAUUAAUAAACAUAUUUAAUAACGAUGAUUAGAAAUAAUUAUUAAAAUUUUAUAUGAAAACUCCUUUUACUUUUUCAAUAUUUCUCUCAUCCGUUUACAACUUCGGUGUAAUAAUAAUAGUAAUGCUAAUAAUAAACUAAAAAUAACCAUUAAUUUGCUAUUAAUUUGCUCAGAAGGGGUCACUUUGGUAGUAUAAAUAGGGCAUUUCAAUAACGUAUUAUUCAAGCCAAGGGGCAAUAAGCAAUAAGCAUCCCCACAACUUCAAAAAGUUUUUCUUUCUUUCUUUUCCUAUCUCUAUUUGAAAUCUGUUUCAGGGGAAAGAAGAAGGAAAAUUUUAUGAUUUUUUGAGGGCUUGUUAAUAAUAAAUAGAAAACAAUGGCGAACAAUGUUGCUGUUAUUGGUAUCUUUUCGGUGUUAUUGGUGACAGCAGUGGUGGGUGUUACGCAUUUAAAAAAUAAUGGUGAUUCGAAAAGCGGUGAAAUAUCAAGUUCGACGAAAGCGGUGCAAACAACAAGGAGCUGAUAAGAAUGAGUUUCCAAGCAGCGAUAGAGGAAAUAAGGAAAGUGUUGGCGAAUUCAGCGACGAUACAAGACUUGAAUAAAGAUGACAACAACAAAGCAGCCCUUAAGGUUUGUAAAGAAGUGUUGGAUUUAUCAAUAGCUGAUCUGCAACUUUCAUUUGAUAAGCUGGGGGAUACGAGAUGAGUAAGAUCGGUGACUACAUACUGAACCUGAGGGUGUGGUUAAGCGGUGCCUUAACUACCCUACAAACAUGUGUAGACUCAUAUGCGGAGGUAAAUAAUGAACAAGCGGAGAAGAUGAAUUCAAUUUUGAAGACUUCAAUAGAGCUUACCCAAAAUUCUUUAACGAUGGUGACUAAGUUAUCCACCAUCUUGAAUGGCCUUAACAUUCCAGGCCUCAAUAUUGGCACGACUGGGUUUGAACGUAAGCUCCUGUCUAACGAUGGACCUGAGUGGAUGGGCCACGCUGAGAGGAGACUACUUCAAGCAAAACCAACAGAUUUGAAGCCUAAUGUAACAACCCAAAAUUCGUGGGCACCAGAAAAGUGUGUUAUCGGGUCUCCGUCUUAGUGAAAUAAGUUCGAAAAUAAUUAUUAAAAAUAUUUAUGAGUCUAGUAGUGUAUUUAAUUGGGUUUUAAUUAAGUAAAUUUAGCUUAAUUUAGAGUAAUUAGUAAAAAGGAUUAAAUUGAAUAAGGGUAAAAGUUUAAUUAUAGAUUAAAGAAAAAUUAGAAGGACUUAAGAGGAAAUUAAACUAUUUCCUAUAGCUGAGGCGGUUUAACGUGGAAAAUAUCAAAAAUUUUAUUGAUUUAAAAAAAAUAUAUAUAUUUAAUAAUUAAGUAUAUUAUAUUAUAUUAUAUUAUAUUAUAUUAUAUUAUAUUAUUAUUAUAUAUAAAAGAAACAAAUAAGUUAAAAGAAACAGAAUGAAAGCAAACGAAACAGAGAAGAACAGGGGAGAAAGAAAGGAAAGAAGAAAGAAAAGGGGAAAUAAGGUUUAUGAAGCUUGGAGUUAAUUGGUAAGCUCAACCAAGUCCUUUUCUCAUAAUUUUGAUAUUUUAGAAGUCUUAAAACAAGUUUUUGAUGAAAUUAAGUUGUUAGUUUGGAAGUUCUUAGGUUUUUAAACAAAGUUCAUGUUGAAUAAAAUGAUGAAAUAGGUGUUUAAUUGAAUGAAAUUCAAGUUAGAAUAGAUAUAAGGAUUGAAUUGCAAAGUAAGCUAUAAGUUUUGUGUUUUAGGGACUAAAUUGAGGAAAAUUCGGAAUUAAGAAAAUAUUUUGAAAAUUUAAUAGUUAAAUUUGAGUUUAAAUGAAAUUUGAAUAGGAAUAAGGUGUGAAUUGGUGUUAUAAAUUUGGUUAUUAACAUUUUACAUCAAAACAGUUUUGGGAAGUAGCAAUGGUCUGACUUUGAAAAUUCACUAAAAAUUUUAUAAAUUGAACUAGAGAAUGAACAAAAUAUGGAAUUAAAUCUUAUUGAGUCUAUUUUCUUUAGUAGAAACAGUGUAAGCAAUUAAUUGAUGAAUCAAGAGAUAUUUGAAAUUUUGUAAUACUGGUUCGGGGUGAUUUCGAGAUGCCCUGUUUUAACUUUGGAAAAUCAUUAAAAAUUGUACAAAAAUUAUUAUGGAGUGUAAUUUAUAUAUGUGAACUCCUUAAUGAAUCUAGUUUCAAAAUAAAUAAACAAGAACCUUAUUCGAGUUCUGUACAAUGAGAUAAUUUAUUUUUAGUAGAGAGAGGUCAGAACUGUCAAAUGAAAUAACAGGGGAGUAUUUAAUGAAUAAACUGUACUAAAUGGCUAGACCAAAAAUUCUGAAAAUUUUAUGGUUAGAAGAUAUAUGAGUCUAGUUUUAAGGAAAAUUUACGGAUAUUAAUUUGGAGUUUCGUAGCUCAAGAUAUAAAUAAUUUAGUAACAAUGACUCAAGUAGACAGCUUAAUGGUGAAAUUAUAUAUAUACAUUAAAAAUGGUUAAAUUUGCAUGUUUAGGCUCAUGAAUUAAAUUGAAUCAUGUUGUAUUAAUGAUUAUAAAUUAUUAUUUUUGUAGCCAACAAAGAACCUGAAGCAUCAGCAUCGAAAGGAAAGGAGAAAGUCAUCGAGGACUAAAACGGGAGAAUUAUGGUGUGUAUUACUAUAAUUCGAAUUUUAAUUAUUAUUGAUUGCUGAAUUUUUUUUAUUGUUAUGUAUGGUAAGUAAGACUUGAGGUAAGUAUGUGAAAUUGAUAUGAAUAUUGAGUGAAAAUGAAAGUGAUGCAAAUUGAAUCAAAUUGAAUUGAAUAAGUGAAUUAUGGAAUAUGUAAUUAUUUGAGAAGCGUAUUGAUUGAAAAAUGUUUGGCGAUUUGAAUUGUGAAUUGAAAGUGAUAUAGGAUUGAGAAAGUGAAUUGAAUACCCUAUUAACUAGUCGGGCUAAGUCGGAUAUAGUUGGCAAGCCAUAGGAUUGGAAGUGUUCAGGGAUACUUCGACCUCGAGUCGAUGAGACACUGGGUGUCACUAUAUUUCUUCGGAUAGAUUCGAUGAGGUACCGGGUACCAACUUUACUUCGGCUAGGCCGAUGAGACACUGGGUGUCAACUAUUACUUCGAACUAUCCGAUGAGGCACUGGGUGCCAUAUUGGUGUGUUUGGUUGGAUCCGUGUAUCCGCCAAAGUCCGAGUUACGUUAAUAGGGUGAAAAAUUGAAAUGUGAAUUUGAGGCAUUGAAACGAGAAAAAUAAAUUGAAUUACGAAUUGAAAUUGGAAUUGUGAUAAUAAGAGAAAAGUAUGAAAUGUAUAUUCAUAAGUGAUAUAAAUUUAAGUUUGAGAAAAUACAUUGAUUUAUGAAUUAGUACAUAUGACAUUAAUUGUUAGGUAUUUUGAUAUUUAUGUUUUUACUAUUGUUGAUAUAAUUUGAAUUAUGGUAAUAUCACUGAGUAUAUCCAUACUCAGCGUACGGUUGUUUCCGUGCGCAGAUUAGUAGAAGUCAAGUGUCCCAGUUCAGCAUCCAGAACAUUCCCGACUCCAACACAAAUUUGGUGAUGUAUAUUUUUCUUUUGGGUAAAGGUGGCAUGUACAUAUGUGUUAUAUAGUCACUUGAAUAUGCAUAUUACUUUGGGUAGUGAAGGUUGAAUUAUAAGAUUUAGAUGGUUAAAUGAAAUGGUAAGAAAAGUAUAUGAUAGUUAUUAAGUUGAAAUUAUGUUAAUGAUAUAAAUAUUAGUUAUAUGAAUGUGAAAAAUUGGUGCUGGUUGUUUUAGUUUGAAUUUGCAGGAGGUUUUAGGUAAAAAUAAGCAGAAAUGCUGCCGAAAUUUUUAUAAAAAAAAAGAAAUAAAAAAAAAUUUAAAAUAUUCGAACAAGUCCCGUUCUACUUUUAAUACGUGCUUGAACUUUGAGAGUUCAAGAUAGGGACUCAAUUAUUAUAUUAUACUAUGAAAAUUUUUAAUAAUUGUAAAUUAUUAGUAAGUUGUCUGAUAUGUCCGGUAAUGCCUCAUAACCUCGUUUCGGUAACAGUUUGGGGUUAGGAGGUGUUACACCUAACGUUGUGGUUGCUAAGGAUGGUAGUGGAAAAUAUGAUACCAUCACCAAGGCCUUGGCUGAAGUCCCUCCAAAAAGCCCUAAUCGAUUUAUUAUUCACAUUAAGGCUGGUACUUACAAGGAACAAGUCCUUUUACCCAAGGAGAUGACUAAUGUUAUGUUAAUCGGUGAUGGCCCAACUAAGACCAUCAUCACCAAUGACCUUAACUGCAUUAGGGAUCAUCCGCUUAAAACAUUCGGCACUGCAACAGUUGGUAAGUAGUAUUAUAUACAUAUAAGUUUUGGUGGUGAGGUGAGGUGAUUAACUAGUAUGAAUGUUUGUGAAAUAUUGUAGGUGUGGACGGGGCUGGUUUCAUGGCCAGGGACAUUGGAUUCGAGAAUACAGCAGGACCCCCUGGUCAUCAAGCAGUAGCUUUUAGGGCAACAUGUGAUAUGGUUAUCAUGUUCAAUUGUCAUUUUAAUGGGUACCAAGACACCCUUUAUGCUCACAAACAAAAACAAUUUUAUAGGGAUUGUCUCAUCAGCGGGACGGUGGACUUCAUCUUCGGGGAUGCUGCGAGCAUAUUCCAAAAUUGUCUGAUCAUCGCGAGGAAGCCAGGUGAAAACCAGAACAACAUGAUUACAGCCCACGGAAGGAAAUUUCCAUACACUCACUCAGCCAUUGUGCUUCAAAAUUGUACCAUCUCGGGCGCCCCUGACUACCUUCCGGUGAAGGACAAGAGCAAGACGUACCUUGGUCGUCCCUGGAAAGCUUUGGCGAGGACCAUCAUAAUGCAAAGCAAUAUUGAUGACAUUAUUACACCAGAGGGUUUGUAACACCCCGUACCCGAGACCAUUGCCGGAGUCGGACACGAGGGGUUCACAGACUAAAUUCGCUUACUAUCGCAGUCCAUUUUAAAUUUUUCCAGACAGCUGGCUAACUGUGUCGCUGUCACCUUAAAAAUCAUAUCUUGAGUUUCACAACUCGAAAAUCAGUUUCGUGAUUUUUCCCUGAAACUAGACUCCUAUAUCCAUCUACAUAUUCUUUUCUAGAAUUUUUGGUCGGGCCAAUUAGUACAGUUUAUUAGUUAAAGUCUCCCCUGUUACAGGGUGCGACUACACUGACCUUCAUGCAUUACAAUUCAGAUAUCUCCCUGACAGGGCUUCAAUACUGAUGCCGUUUGUUUCUAUAGAAACUAGACUCAGAGAGGAAUCUAUACAUAUAUGGCAUGACUCCUAAUUAUCUCUGGUUAAUUUAUAAUGAAUUUCCAAAGUCGGAACAGGGAAUCCAGAAACCGUUCUCGCCCUGUCUCACAAAAACCUAAUUAUCUCUUAACAUACCACUCAUUUGACCGUUUCGUUUCUUCCAUAUGAAAGUGGAUUCAUCAAGGUUCAUUUAAAUAAUUGAUUCACUAUUUAAUUCUAUUCCUACUAUUUUUAGUGAUUUUCCAAAUCUACAUCACUGCUGCUGUCAGCAUCUGCCUUUAAGGUAGACUUUACCUAUUUCAUAGUUUCCAUGAUUCAACUAGCCCUUUUAGCAUAAAUAGCACAAAUUAUGAUAGUGAUUAACCAUUCCCAUGGCCAAUCCUUGUUAAGCAUAUCCACACCUCUCAAUAACCAUAUCCAUACCAAAUGAUUAUAACAUUAUGCUCAAACAUAUAUAAGCCAUUUUCGCAUGGCUAUCCAAAAUUAUACAAAUCCAAAGGGUCCAUGACCCACUACAAAAAGGGUAGUCCUAUACAUGCCAUUUUCAGAGUUCAACCAAAAGUGUACCAAAAGGGCUUUGAUAGUGUGGGCGACUUCGACUUCAAUAAUCCCGAGUCCGAUAGCUGACGAACCAAAAUCUAUAAAACAGAGAUUCAAAGAACGGAGUAAGCAUUUAAUGCUUAGUAAGUUUUAAGCAAGACAAAGUGUUCUCAAUCACUAUUAUUGGUCAUUCAUUUCAACUGUUCGAUGAAGUUAAUCUAGAGCUUCAUCUCGAUCUAUAAUAUCAUUAAACGCAACACUUGGCUGCCACAUAUAUACUUUCGAAUAAUAAUGACCUAGAUGGUCAAAUAUUUCUAAAGCACAUUCUCACAUUUGGAGUUAUAAUAUUAAUCACAUUUACCUACCUCUUUGAUACUGAUAAUUCACCUCGAAAUCACUCCACCGAUGAGUAAGUAAUACGUACCUGAACAUCUUGAAUACAUAAUACUUAUUUGAUGGUAACUUAAUGCAGAUACUCAAUAUCAAAGUCUUACUUGAAUCCUAGCAUUUAGCCGUCGGGUCUUUAAAGCUCGGAUAUAGUACGAGCACGAAGCCUACGGACAUUAAUCAGGAUAAUAUUCUCGCAUAAAGCCUGCGGGGUUUUAACCCGGAUAUAGUACUGACACAAUUGCCCUUCGGGACUUAUCACAUUUAUACACUUCCACAUCCAUCACAUUGGCCAUUCGGCCUUAUCACAUAUAUACACUUUCACAUUCAUCACAUUGGCCAUUCGGCCUUAUCUCAUAUAUGCAUGUUCACAUUCAUCACAUUGGCCAUUCGGCCUUAUCACACAUACACAUGUUCACAUUCAUCACAUUGGCCAUUCGGCCUUAUCACACAUACACAUGUUCACAUUCAUCACAUUGGCCAUUCGGCCUUAUCACACAUACACAUGUUCACAUUCAUCACAUUGACCAUUCGGCCUUAUCACGCAUAUAUACUUUCACAUUCAUCACAUUGGCCACUCGGCCCUAUCACAUAUAUAUACUUGUACAUCAAUUUCAUCAUAACAAAAUUGACUAGGUAUACUAGUCAUUUGUGGCUUAUAGCUUCACUUUAAUACGAAUUUGGUACUUUGAUUACCAAUGUUUAAUCGAUAGCUUAUAAGCAACUCAAAUGGUUUUAUUAAGGUUUACAACAAAAUUCCAAAUUCAGCACAAGCUGUUUUUUUUCUGAGCAACAGUCAUUAAAUUAUUCGUAAAUGGAGCUACGAAACUCCAAAUGGAGUGCCGUUAAUUUUCCCUGGAAAUAGACUCAUACAUAUCUUAUCCAGAAAAUUUUCAGAAUUUUUAGUUUGGCCAAUCAAUACCAGAUUUUUCUUAAAGUUUCCCCUGUUUCACUAUUUGACUAAUCUGACCACUCUUCACUACGAAUCAAAUUUCUCAUUGUACGGAAUUAAAAAUGUGUUCUAUUUGAUUUCAUUUGAAACUAGACUCAUUAAGGAGUCUAGGCAUAUAAAUUUUAUCUUAUAACCAUUUUUUUACAAAUUAUAAUGAUUUUUCUAAAAAUAGAACAGGGGAUUUCGGAGUCAUUCUGACACUGUCCCACACAACUUUAAAUAUCUGUUUAUAGGAAAUUUCUUUGCUUCCACGGUCUCUUUUAUAAGAAACUAGACUAAAUAAGCUUUGAUUACAUAUUUUAUUCAGCCUAUAAUUCUACACCAACAAUUUAUAGUGAUUUUCUAAAAUCACGUUACUGCUGCUGUCCAAAGCAAAUUAUUACAAUUUGCUCUUAAAUUUCCAAGUCCAAACACUUAUGAACUUACCAUUUGAGUUUAAGACAUAUUAUGGCCACAUCAUAUCUUAUUAAAUCAACUCAUUAUGUCCUAUUAUGACUGAAUUUACUCAACGUUUAAUCACUUAAAACUUACCUCGGAUGUGGUCGAACGAUUUCGGCGGCUAUUCGAUCACUUUUUUCCUUCCCUUUAUCGGAUUUAGUUCCCCUUUGCUCUUGAGCUUAAUUUAACAAAUAAAUUGAUUUAAUCAUUUGAACAUCGAAAAGAGAAAAUCAAGGUACUUAACCCAUAUAUAUAUACAUUAGACAUUAAAGUCACAUACAUAUGAAAUCAUGAAUCAACUCAACAUAUUAACCCACACUCUCUUUUAGCCGAUUGUCUAAGCCAAGAUUAAGCCACCAAUAUGCUUACUUAUGGCCGAACAUACACAUCAACUUAUGUACUCAUUCAUGUGGCCGAACAUACAUGUCUAUGUUGAGGCCGAUUGCAACACUUAAUACAUUCUACAAGUAUGGUCACUUGUAUUGACUAAACACCAUUUUGUUUCAAGUUCAAAACUUGGCCAAAACACAUAUAUACACUAGUAAAGCAUCCUCUCCCUUUCCAUCAAUUCAACACAUGCAUUACUCAUUAAUAUACAAAAUUAUAUUCGGCCUUAGCACACAACUUGCUAGCCGAUUCUUCUCCAUCUAGCAACUAAUGCACAUAUGUGCUCAUUUGUUAGACUCUACUUCAUCUAACAACAACCAUAUUUUCCCUUCUACUUCCUACCAUGGCCGGAUGCUCAAGAUACCUCAAUAUCGAAACUUUUAGCUUGGAUUGCUUAAAGAACUUGGUGAUGAGUUCAAAUUUACCUAACACCUCAAGCCUCAUAACACAUCUAUAUAGCUAACAUGCUAAUAGUCUCAAGGCUUCAACUAAAACUUUUGAAGCCUCUUAGUCGAAUACUAACUCUCUAAUAAUCCCAAAUCCAUCCAUGAGAUAGUUAGAAUUUAGACUAAUCAUCCAAGGGAUGUAUGAACUUUCAAAGUAACACUAAACAUACCUUAAUCUAGUGAGCCUUCAUAGCCGAUUUUUCUCCAAGCUCAUUCCCUUCCUUUCUUUCUUCUAUUCGGCCAAAGAUGUUCAAGGAUGAACACUUUUUUUUUCUUUGUUUCCUUUCUUCCAUUCACGGCAAAGGGGGGGCAUGGAUGAGACCAUUUUUUUUCAUCACUCCACCUUUUUGCAUUACUUUAAUCCUAACCCAUUUUUUUUAUUCUUUCUAACAUAACUCACUAACACAACAUGUUUGCAACAUGUUUCCACCCAUAGCAUGGCCGGCCACUAUGUUUUAAUUUUGGGUAAUUUGAAAUGCAAACCCAUCAUUUCACAACAUGCAUUAUUAGGCCACUUUACAUUUGCCUAGCACAUUUCCAAAUUUUCUCACAUAAGUCCUAUUUGAUAAAAUUCACUUACUAUUAACAAAAUUCAAACAUGAAAUUUUCACACAUGCAUAUGUACAUAUAAUGAGCAUCAACUAUGACGGUUAAUUAUCUUUAUGACUCGGUUUAGUGGUCCCGAAACCACUUUCCGACUAGGGUCACUUUAGGGGUGUCACAGGGUUACUCCCCCAUGCAAGGCACCGUAGGAAUAGACACUGGUUACUUUGUAGAGUUCCAAAAUAGGGGACCCGGUUCCAAAACUGAAGGCAGGGUCAAAUGGCCAUCUAUCAAGACAAUCGAUAUAAAUGAAGCCAAGAAAUGGACUCCUGGCGUCUUUCUUGAAACUGAAACUGACAAAUGGAUUUCGCAAACUGGCACUCCUUGUUAUCCUGACAUGGUCCCUGGAGUGUGAACUCCCAAAACCAUCGCCAUUAGUAUUCUUUUAUUAUCAUUAUUAGUAAUCAUGUUGUCGAUUAUUGAUUAAGUUAAAAGAUAUUUUAACCUUAAGUAUUUGUUAUUUUAACUUAUUGGUAAUGAUUAUGUUUAAACUUUUAUUCAAGUUAUAAUUCUAUUAUAAAGUUAAUAAAUAAAGUUAUAGUAACCUCCCCAACUUGGCCUAAACAUUAGAUCUGAAUUCAGAAGAUUAUAUUAGCCACCGAAAUGACCUUGUAAGUUAUCAGAAUUUUUGAAAACGGUCAUUUUAAAACAUUUGAUUAUUUUAGAAGAAAACCUAGAUAAUUACCGAUUUAUUUACUAUUCAAAAUUCUUAUUUAUAAUUUAGCAGCAUAAAAGUAAUAAUAGUUUGUAUUUUUAAUAAAAACCAAUGUUCAUGCAUAAUUAAUUAAUAUUCAUAUUUAAAAAUCCUAAAAUCAAAUUAAAUGUCAUGCAGGCUGUAAAAUAAAAACCAAAUCCUAAGUUCUAUAUAACAUGUAACAACCCGUUUUCAAUGAAAUCGAAAUAGUGGUUUCGGGACCAUAAAUCCAAGUCAGAAAGAAAAUUUAUUUUAAUAUUAUUGCAUGGUCUACAUUAUGAUAGGAAAGACGUAUGAAAAUUUUGAUAAGAAAAUUUUAUCGAUUUUAUGUAUAAUUAGGAGGAAAGGACCAAAUUGCAUAAAGUGCAAAAGUUGAAUUCUAGUAGCUAAAAGGAUUAAAUAGUUAUGGAAUUCAAAACUUGGGGUCCUUAUAUAAUAAUUAUACCAUUAAGAGAAGUUAUUAGAUAUUUAUGAUAAAUCAUCCAUGGAAAUUUAAGAAAAGAAAAGGAUUAAAUUGGAAAGUUAAAAAAUUAAAAGAUGAUAAGUUAAUUAAAAGAAUAAAAUAAGUUUAUUUCAUCAUCUUCUCCAAAUUUUCUAUGGAAACCCUAGCUUAGAAAAAGAGAUUCAAGCAAGCUUAAUUAGGUAAGUAAUCAUGUCCCGGUUUUAGUAAUUUUUACAUUUCUGAGAUCGUAAUAACCUAAUCUAUUUAUUUGGGGAUCAAUUUGCAAAGUUAUAAAAGUAUUUAAAAUUUUCCAUGGAUUAUUAUGCUGAAAUUUUGAAAUUUAAGGUAGAAAAUGAAAGGUUGUUGAUAGAUAAAUGAUAAACUGUAAUUUAUACAUAUUUUUACCCCAUGCUUAACGCAUUUUAUGGAUGAUUUUUCCUUAGAAUUAGUGAAUUCGAUGCUCCUAAUGCCUUAAUUUCAUGUUUUAUACUUAGGUGAGCAUAGGAGAGCGAAAGGAACGAGAAACGAGCCAAAAAUGGAGAAAAUGGGCCAAAGUACGAAAUCAACACGGCCUGGACUUCCUCACACAGACAGCCCACGCGGCCGUGUCAAUUUGGCAGAAUCGAAGCACGACUCACAUGGGUAGAACACACGCCCGUGCCAAUCUAACAGGCUCGACACGGCCUGAAGUAAUCGCACACGGGCAUGUCAUAUAGGCGUGUCCCUGCCGAGCCCAAGUUUAGUCCAAUUCGGAAAAUGCCAAUUUUGAGGGUUUUUAGGCAUUCCAAAGCUUAUAAAUACAACCUGGAGGAGGAAGAAAAAGGGGAGGCACAGAGAGGAAGGAAUGAAUUACUUGAAGGAAGCCGAUUGAUCCAUCUCAGAAGCCGAAUUCAUCGUCAAGACUGAAGAUCUCCCUUCAAUUUCCCUUCAGGGUUUUGGGAUUUCUUUAUGUUUUGUAUUCAUUAUUCUUCUGAGAUGUUUUCCUUUUUAGUUAUGAACUAAAUCCCCUAAAUACCUAAGGGGGAUGAAACCUAAGACGAAUCUUGUUAUUAUUUUCUGAAUUGUAUGAUAAAUAUUUAACUUGUUCUUAAUUAUGUGUUCUUAAUUCUUGUUUUGAUAUCCUAGGAUACUGAUUCAAGAUAAGCUCUUAUUCAGAGGAGGAAUAGACCCUGUCUAAGAGUACAUUUGUCAUAAUUAAGCGGAGUUGCUUGCGCGCCUAGAUAUAGGGUGACAAGAUUUUGUCGGAUUAGGGUGAAACCUAAUAAGGGGAUCCAUAGAUCGAGUUAAUGCAACCCUAAGAUGUUAAUUAGAGAAAAGUUUUAAUUAUUCAAUCUAGGGAUUAGACGUUAUUAGUCUUGAAUAGGAAUAAUAACAUAACUUAAGGAUCUCUACGAAACAAGUUAAAUGAAUAAAUCGUCCGAUUCAGAGUCAGAAUAACAAGUGAAGUUUAGGUGGAUUUUUCCUUAGGUAUUGUCUUAAUUCAAUCGUUUUUCCAAUAGUAAUUCCCCAAUUCUAUUUUCUGUGAAUUCUUAAUUUAGAUAAUUAGUUAGUUAAAACAAACCCCCUUAUUUUUAGGCUAGAUAAUAAAAAGACAGUCAUUACUAGUACUUUUAGUUCCUUUGGGUUCGACAAUCCGGUCUUGCUAAAGCUAUACUACUAUUCGAUAAGUACACUUUCCUUCAUCGUGAUAAGAGUUAGUUUCGAGAACGAUUCAUUAUAAAUAUUUAAAACCUGUCGCAAAUAUCGCGUAUCAAUAAACAACUUUUGUAAAGUGAAUUUUGAUGAAAUCGUGAUUUAGGGACUAAAUUGUAAAGAUAUAAAAUUCAAUGAAAUUUUCUAAUUUUUAUGAAAUAUAUCGACUGUUUUUGUUAUAUGAAAAAUUCGACUAGGCUUGGAAUAAGGAUUAAAUUGCAUGAAUUUCAUUUUCCGAGCCUAGGGAUGAAAUUGGAAUUAAUAAAAGUAUAGGUGCAAAAUUGUACUUUUUCCUAAAAUGUGAAUUUGAGUGAAUUGAAUAUGAAUUUCAUUAAAUUGAGUUAAAUUUAUCCGUAUAGAUCUAGAUAGACCUAGUACGAAAUUGGAUCGAGGAAAAUAAAAAGUUUCGGAUUAGCAGAUUCUCAUAUAUGAACAAGUAUCGAGGUAAGUUCAUGUAACUAUCACUAUAGGAAAAUAGGGCUUUAGCGGCGUUUUAUCAAAAAACGCCGAAAAAAUUAUAAAAAACUGAGCAAUAGCGACGUUUUUGCUAAAACGCCGCUAAAGACCAGAGCAUUAGCGGCGCUUUUGGUAAAACGCCGCUAAAGACCAAAGCAUUAGCGACGUUUUUGGUAAAACGCCACUAAAAGUCAUAUAACUCUUAAAAUCCUAAACCCCAAAAAACAUAAAACACCAAUCUAUAACCCUAAAAUAGUAAACCUUUAAACCCUAACAAGCCGUAAACACUAAACUAUAACACCUAAAAUCCUAAACGUCGCAAUAGGUGCAUUUUUAGUGGCGCUAGUUUAAAUUAUAGGUUAAUGUUUGGGGUUUAUGGUCUAGGAUUUAUGAUUUAGGGUUUUGGAUUUAGGGGUUGGGGUUUAGGGGUAAAUAUAGUGAACUACUUAACUUGUGUAUCUUGGAUUUUUUUAUAAUAUAAAUCUAAAUAAGAUAAAUAUAAAUUAUUAUUUUAAAAAUAUAUAUAUCAAAAUGGGUUAAAUCCCAAAAGUAUAAAUUAUGAACACAAUUAUUGAUAUAAUAUCAUUUUAUAUUUAUAUAUUGCAUACAUAAAUAUUUAUAUUUAUUCAAUAUAAAAAUAUAUUGAUGUAUUUAUUUUUUAAAACGUGUAUGAUUAAAUCAAAAUUAAAGUUUUAACUAUACAUUUAAACCACAAUUAAAAUUUUAAGUCUACAAUUACACAUUAAACCGAAAUUCAUAUAUAAUUCUGAAAUGUAUCUCUAUCAAAAUUUAGGUGUAUACAUAUAAUUAAAUAUAAUUUAAAUUAUUUAAGAGAUAAUGAUAAAGUUUAUAUAUAUAAAAACAAAAUAAAAAAUUUUUAACAGAGCAAAAAAGUGAGAAAAUGACUUUUUGUGGCGUUUUUAUUAAAAAUGUCGCAAAAAAAUAAACAAUAGUGGCGUUUUUUAUAAUUUUUUACACAAAACGGUACGGUGUUGUUACCCAAAAUGCAUUAGACUUUUUCGUUCCCCCUUCCCCCCGAGAUCCCAAAAUUUGACAAGAAAUCUUUCUUUCUUCCCUCCUUUCUUUCCCCAAAAUCGGUUCCCUCCCCCCUCCCCAAAGAAAUCCUAAAAUUUCACUUGAAAUUUCUUCUCUUUUCUUUCCCAUUUUAUUUUUCCCAAACCAUUUCUCCCCUACCCCGAUUCCCUUUAUUUUUUCCCCCAAUUUCCCCAAAUUGGUAACUCCAUGAUGUUCUCUCUCUGAUAUGUUUGCUUAUUGGAUGUAUUGCUCGGACUUUAUAUUGUUGUUUGAAAUAUCUUCACUGAAAUUGGUCAAUUGAACCCCUUAUCCAUGCCCGCCGAUCCCAAGCCCUCCUACGCCUUCAGCUCCCUCCGUGAUCGUAGUAGGGACAUUCUCAGCGUCGUCGUCGCUCUCCUCUUCGGCGUCGGCUGUGGCUCUCUCACUGCCGCCGCCAUUUACUUGGUCUAGAUUAUCUUCACGGCCGUUGCGAGUACCAUGAGGAUGAUGAGUCUGACGAAGAAUUUAGCCCUAAAAAAUGGGGUAUGUCAACAUUCCUGCGAAUCCUGCUGUUAACGUUAAGGAAUCCUGCUGUUAACGUUAAAGAUGAUUAAGGUUGAUGGCUGGAAAAGAAAUCAUCUUGUUUAUUACUCAAAAUUGUUGGUAAGGGUGUAUGAUUUAUAGACUUGUAGAUGUAACUAGAGCUCUACCAUCAAUAGAUAGGAAAAGUUACUGGACAAUUAUACAUUAUUGUUUGAUAUAUUUAUUAUUUUACUUAAUAUUUGACUAUCUUUAUAUAUGGACACUAUUUUAGUUGUAUAAGAACUAAGACUUUAUCCUUUAUAUGUAUCAGCAAGCCAUAAAACAUAAAGAUUUAAGUAACCAUAGGAAGUUACUAUGGAAUAGAAGGCUAGGAUGCAAUGCUCUAUAAUUUGAAAUAAUUUCUCUUCAUCUGGCCUCUUAAAUUUUCAUGGAAUCUCUACACCUAGGAUUCUACUCCUCAAUGAUUGUCUUCUAAAGAUCACCAUUAACAGUGAGCAUGUUUAUGUUUCUAAAAGCAAGUUAUUUUGCAUUUGAAGUAUUUGUUUCAAGCUAAUUUAGGGUUGCCAGUGACGUCUUGGUUUAAUGGCAAGGAGGAGGCUAUGGGACUUUGAGAUCCCUAGUUUGAGUCUCACCAUGUGUGGGCUUAGUGUAUUUUGGAGAUGGACAGAUGUAUUUUGGAGAUGGGAGCCAUACAUGCUGGUGACUUCAUGGUGAGUUCCUCUCUUUGCCAUAUGUUUGGGAGCAUUUCCAUGGUUGAAUAUUGAAUUAUUUAUUUUUUCUUACCAUUUAUGGUUGCUGCUGACUUUAUUUUGUUUAAUUAUUAGAGGCGGUUAAGUUGAUUAACUGCUUGAUUGGGAAAGAAUUAGAAAUGUUUGAGUUAUUAUUCGAAUGGUGAACUAAAGAAAAAGAAGCUGAUAGAGCAGUAACUGACAAUUAUGGUUGAGAUUUUGCAAUAAUUGCAUACUUUUUAAAGAUUAUUAUUAUAAUGGUGACUUAUGAAAUGUUGGUAGUGAGAACCAACACCUUUUGGGAAUAUGGAUGUUUAUAAGUAUCUUGCUAUUUAUUUUCUCGAAAUCAUUAGUCAACUUCAUUGAUAGUUCGGGUAUUCCAUGUUCUUGCCAAUUAGGUAGAUCCUUGCAACCAAAUUGUUCAUUCAAUUCGGUUACUUGUCUUUUGCAUGUUUUGGAAAGUUUAAAGACACUGAAAGGAAAAGAAAUAAAAUAAAAUGAUUCUCCUUUACAUUAUUCCAUGACUUCUCACAGAUGUCAUCUUAUUUUCUCCCAUUGUUUAUCUUUACUGCUUUUUUAACUCUUGGAGCUUGAUAAGAUGAAUGUUUUAUUCACUUAAUAUAUACUUGCUAACAAGUUGCAUAAUUUUCGCAGGCAGAGCCCUAUAUCAAUUGCAGCUGCUGUUAUUUAUAUAAUAACAUAGCUUUCGAAUGAUAAGAAGCCACUUAAAGGUUUGAUAUUAUUUCCUUCUUACUUAUUAACUAAAAUUAAGAUGUUUCAUGUACUCCUUUUAGGUGCUGAGGUUUUAUAUCGAAUAACCCAACAUGGUGUCUAAGCAAUGUUUUUGUGUAUUAAAAUUUUAAAAAAAAGAACGGUGACAUCAAAAAAUUUUGAGCUACUGUUAUGUUUCUCUGAAAAAUGAACAAAUGAAUGCGCAGAUAUUUCUGUUGCUACGGGAGUUGCGGAAGGGACAAUCCGAAAUUCAUAAAAGGAUCUUUAUCCCCAUGUGUCCAAGAUAAUACCAAACUGGUAUGCCAAGGAAGAAGAUAUCAAGAACCUAUGCAGUCCUUGAAUUACAGAACAGACAAUAAUGGAGAUACCACAAACAAAACCCUCAAAGUGCUGAGUUCUCUCUCUCGGGAUCUCGUGGAACUCUCGGUACAUUCUGAUAAUGAUGUUCUAUUUUUUUUUUAUGCGUGUUUGAAGUUUUAGCAAAUAUUUUGAGGCUGUAUCAUUGCUGUUUAUCACCUAUAAUUUAUUCCACUAGGAUUCUUUAUAUCUUUCUUACAUUUGGCAGAUUAGUACGCAUAACACCUGGCGUAGGUAGAUUUGUUGCUAGGAGUUACAGUCCAAGGUGAGAAAAAUCUCUCCACAACUAAGGUUCUUUCUACCGUAAAUUAUUGAUAAUUAUUUACUACUGAUUGCUUGCAGACAGUUGGUCAGCGCGUCACCUGGAAUUCCAUUAUUUGAGAUUUUUGUGGUUAAAGAAGAUGAAGAAAUAUAUCUUAUGCAGGUAAAGUAGUAAUGUGCCUUAAUUUAUUAUUAUUUUUUGUUUGGGGCAAGGGGCAUAAAUUGAUUCUAAAUUAUGACAUCUUCAAAAUUUGGUGAAUUCAGAGUAUUUAAUGAUACCAUGAGUCAUGAGUGCAGUUAAAUGCUGUGUGUGGUUUGUUUGCUUUGUGUGGCUUUUUGCUGAUUGAUAUGAGUUGAAAUACUUUGGCACCAUGCCUUAGUGGCAUCAACUAGUACGACCACGUUUGGAGGGAUCUUGAGUCUUAGAUAUGUGGAACCUCUUCGAGAGAGAUUUGGGUUAAUCCACUUUGACUCUGGAAUUCCAUUAGGUUGGUUAAGUAGCUGCUAGGUUAUCGAUCAUAGUUCAUAACUUCCUUUCUGAUCCAAUCAUAGUAUAGAAGGGUCUACAGAUUGAUAAGAUAAACAGAAAAAUGAAGGCCUUGCUAAUUAGAAUCAGUCUUUUUUUUUUGGGUAAAGUAGAAAAUGAACAAAAAGAAAGAAAGAGAGCAUGUUUUCCUUGGCUAGGAAGAUCUUGGUACAACAGUAGCUCAAGGACCUUUCAGUUAUAGUUCAUGGUUAGAUAUACUGUUCAUAAGUGUUUAUCUAAGUACUUAAUUGGGGCUUCCUUUGUGUGUUUUGCUUGUCAUCUUUUUCACGAACACCAUAUCUGAAUUGCUUUUGGAUAAGUGCUUUGCUGCAUGCUGCUUUCUCUGUUUCGCAUCAUGAAACAGUUCUGGGUGUGUUUGUUCAGUAACUGAGCCUUGCUGCAGUAGGAUAAAUUUUUUGGAUUAUAUAAUUUGGUCCAUGGAAUCUUGAAAUUCUGGAUUAAAUAUUUUGGGUGGUAAAUCUGCCUAAACAUGGAUAUUCUUAGACGUGUAAUGUUAUUCCUGUGUAAGUUUGGAACAUGAUAUUUUCAUUUUAUUUAACUGUAAGUUGGUUUCUGGAUGCAUAUACACAUGUUAUGUAUCUAUUUGCAUGUUAGUCUUCGGCAUCUCUUAACCAGUGUGUGAUGUAUAUCUCCUGUAAAGUGAUCUAAAGUCUUCUAAUACAAUCUGUUGCAGGUAGUUUAUUUGCAGCGUGCUAAAGGAAGUUCUAUGAAUAGUACCACCUCACCUUCCAGGCCUACAAAUACCCCAUCCUAUGACCAUGAAAAGCUACUUACCAGAAAAUUUUUGAUUAAUUCAAUCUAUCUAUUGGACGUUUUCAGUAAACCAUUAAGCAUGCUCUAAUGCUCAUACAGACCAAGGCAUGAACCCUGUUAUUGAAUUCUUUCAUUUUCUUCCCUAGGUUGCAUUAUGAGAAGCAAUGCUAUCUGAUAUAUUGUGUUCAAUAUGAACAAUGUAUGUCAAUGUAUUGAAUUUGGUGUAAGGUUUGCCUGAAUAUCUCUACUAUCUCAUUCAUUUGACUUUAUUUAGAACCUCGUAUUGAGUACGUUAAUUCAUACUUUUGAGACUUCUAAUUGAUGGGAAAACUUUAAAAUACAGGUUGCAUGUUACAAAGGUCAGGGAAGAAUAGAAGAAUUUGUUUUCCGUAACCCGCGAUGGGUCGAUGGCGAACUUCUCCAACUUAAUGGCAAGGUAAUAAAAUAUUCAGAACUUUAUGCUAAUAAUAUGAUGUGACUUGCAACUUAAAAUUAUUUUGUUGAGUUUUCAAAACUAUAUGAAUUGAAGGAAAAUCCCUUGUGGAUGGUCAUAUGCAGGGCAUUGGACCCUAUGUCAAAGGAGCUGAUCUAGGUUUCCUUUACAUUGUGCCCGAGCAAAGUUUCCUUGUGCUACACAACCGUUUAAUAUAUAAAUAUAUUUGUAUAAAGUAGUUUAAUUUUUUUACUAAUUUAAAUAUUUUUUUAUUUUUAUAUUUGUAAAAGAACUUAGUUAUAAAAUAAAAAAUUUUAAAUUUAGUUUGGUUCAGAUGAUUAUAGUUUUCUAACUUACAAACAGUGAAUCAAAUUGAAAUCAAUUUAUUUGAAUAAAUUAAAAUUAAAUUGAAAUAAUGAAUUUUAAUUUUUUUUAUAUUUUUCAUGACCUUUAUAAUAUUUUGUAAUAUUUUUUUUUGAAUUUCAUGACUUUUAGCGGCGUUUGUGGGAAAAGCACCGCUAAAGGUCAUGAUCUUUAGCGGCGUUUGUGGAAAAAGCGCCGCUAAAGGUCAUGAUCUUUAGCGGCGUUUGUGGGAAAAGUGCCGCUAAUGGUCAUGAUCUUUAGCGGCGUUUUUUCAAAUAAAUGCCGCAAACUUUAAUGGCGCCGUCUAUAGAGGCGUUUUUUGCGGCGGCGCCGUUAAUAGUUUUAGUGGCGCUUAGAAGCGCCGCUAAAGACCUUAAAAAACGUCGCUAAAAAUCAAUUUUGCUGCAGUGUAUAUUGUGUACAUUUACAUGUCUGAAUUGAAUAUAGUAUAAGUAAAUUGUGAAUUUGUUAUGAAUAUCAAAAUGAUUAUAUAUCCGACAUGUUUGAGAAAUGUUAAGUCCCGUCUGAACAAAUGAAAAUCGAUGGUUGCAAGUUUCUCGAUUGGUUGUGAUGUAGCAUAUGUUGCAGAAACACCAUAGCUUGAAAGACCAUCUCGUUAUAAGCCCUCUUGAGCUUCCCGUUAUAUGGUUCUUGCGAACUUCACGUUAUGGUUCUUCGGAGUGUCUCGAUAGGUUGUGAUCCUACAUGUGUUGUAGAAACACCUUAGCUUUUAUGAGCUUCUUGAUAUGGGCUUUUCGUGAGCUUCUUGUUAAAUUAGCUCUUUAUGAGCUUCCCGAUAGUGCUCGCUUGAACUUCCCAGUAUAUGGUUAUCUGGAGCUUUCCGAUAGGCUCUUCGUGAGCUUCCCGAUUAAAAGUUCUUUGUGAACUUCCUAAGUAUGGUUCUUAUGAGCUUCCUGUUAUAGCCUGGAUAAGCUUCCCGUUACAUGGCUCACAUGAGUUUCUUGUUAUACGGCUCGAGAGAGUGCUUCCUGUUUAGGUGUUCUCAUGAACACUUCUUAAUGUCAAUUGACGGAUUAUAGAUUCGUACACUUCAUGUGUACUAUCGGAUAUCCAUCGAUAUUUCAUAAGGUUCAACGGUCAAAAUUUCGAUAGAAGUUGAGAUAAUGUCUGAAAUAAAUAAUAAUAUUAACUGCUUGAAAUUACAUAGAAUUGUUUACAUGAUGAGCUCAUCUUUGUUAUUUGAAAAUACUUGGAAAUCAUGACUAACUUGCUUGAUGAGUAUAUGUGUUUAAGCAAAUGGCCAAUUUGCUUUGGAUACAUGUUGUUUGUAUGUUUACUUUAAAUGAACCUGAGUGGUAAGUUAAAUUCCCGUUAUGCGAACUUACUAAGCAUUAAAUGCUUACUUGGUUUUCUUUUCUCUGUUUUAUAGUGCUCGGAAGCUCAUAAAGGUUGGAAAUUGGUCGGAGCAUCAUCACACUAUCCUUCAGAUUGUUUUGGUAUAAAUAACAAACUUUUUUUUGAUAUAAUGGCAUGUAUAGACUAAGUUGGCUAUGUAAAUGGUUGUUUGUAUCUAGCUAUUGGAAUGGCUAGUGAUGACAUAUUUGAUGUAUAUGUAAGAGGAUAUAUCAUGUUUAAUAUAUGCAUAUUUAGUAAGGUUGAAUUGAAUUCUGAUAAAUUUACAUGAUUACACAAUUAGGUAAGUUGGAAUACAUGAACAUAUGUGAUGAAAUGUCAUACAUAAUACUUGUAUUUGACUUGAUUUAAAUGUAUUGAAUUGGUUGGUGAAUAUACUUAAAUAUUGUUGUAGGUGGAAAGCAAAAUGGGUGAGAAAUAUGGCCUAUUUUCGUCCACACGGGCAAAGACAUGGGCAUGUGUCUCAGCCGUGUGCGACACGGCCUUGCACACGGGCAUGUGGUUGGGCGUGUGACACAUGUCAGAGAGUUACACGGGUAUGAACACGUGUUAGGAUAUGGCCGUGUGCCUUACAUCGAAUGCCCACACGGCUUGGAACAUAGGCAUGUCACUCACACGGCCUACCUACACAGGCGUGGGUCCCCUACAUUUAAGAAAAAUUUUGAAAAUUUUAGUUAAAUUUUCUGAGUUCUCGAUUUAGUCUCGACUUGUUUCUAAUACAUAUAUUGGGCCUCGAGGGUCCAUUUAAGGGAAAAUAUGAUUGAAUAUGUUUGGUUUCGAUUAUGAAUAGUAAAUGAAAUGAUUUAACCGUAAUUAUUCUAUAAACUACGGUAAUGCUUUGUAACUUUGUUUCGGUGUCAGAUAUGGGUUAAAUGUGUUACAUAACAGUUCAAAAUAAAAUAUUAUAUUCAUUGAAUAAUUAAAUAAAUAAAAUAAUGAGCCUAAAAUAAUUUUAUAAUUAAAAACGAGCCGAGACUCUAGAUGCCAUGUUCGUGUCCUAACCUGGUGAGUUAUCUGUAAGUAUGAAAAUUUAAGGGGGAGUGAGCUAUAACACUCAGUGGGAGUUCCAUCACAAGAAAAUCAGUGCAAAUUAAUAAACUAAGCAUACAUAAUAACAAUUUUUAGUACGAUAAUAAUCAUAUGAUAUAACGAUAUUUUUGGCAGUUCAACAACCAUACUUAUAUGUGUCGAUGCAAUGCUAUACAAGUUAAGUUUAUCAGUAAAGAUAGGUCCUACCCCACCGCUACACUCCACAGUAAGAGUUUCCCAGAAAUCUUAUAUCUCGGACACUCUAAUUUGUGGAUGAACCACAAGUGUUCCAGGUUAAUAUGCUACCAAUAGUUGUGAAUACACAAUGGGUUUGCAGAUAGAAGUUGCUAGUAAAAGAUGUGGAUAAACCACUAGUAUUUGCAGGUUAAUACGCUGCCAAUGGUUGUGAAUACACGGGUUUGCAGAUAAAAACUACCACUAAUUUGUGGAUAAACCACCAGUGUUUUGUAGUUAAAAUUGCCAGUAUUUCCUCUUUAAAAAGAAUCCUACCCUAUGCAAUAUAGUAUGACAUGUAAGUAUCAAUACAGUACAGAAACAAUAGACAUGUUUGUCCUGGAUUUGGUAUGUCAAUAUAGUAAGCAUGCUAUUCACGCAAUUAGUAAUUUUGCGAUACUAGUAAAAAUAACAAUUAAUCAGUAAUUUAGUCAUAGAAGACAUGUAUUCAUCACAUAUCAUGCACAUAUAGUAAUAAUCUAAUAAAUCAAACAAUUUAUUCCACGUUAUUCAUAAUAUCAGAGACUUAAUUAAAAGAAAUAAAGCACUAAAAACAAUUCAAUGAUCAUGCAUGGAUUAAAUUGAACAAUUUACAAAAAUUUUGGGAAAAAUUGUAAAAUGGGGGCACAUGGCCGUGUGGAGGGGUUACACGGUGGUAUGGUUAGGCCGUGUAAUAGAUUGUGGCUGUGUGGAAUUUACAAAAUCAAGGUACAGGGGAGACACAAUUAUGUGGCAGGCCGUGUGAGAAUUGAAUAUCCUAAGGUUUCAGGGGGACAUGGUCGUGUGAGGGGUCGUAUGGUCCACAUGUGUAUCCCACAUGCCCGUGUGGUUGGCCAUAUGACCUUAUUUCGAGGUAUGAUUUAUCCCAAUUCGCUUGUAAAAUAACACACAUUCCACCGGGAUCUCGAAUGACAUCCCUCACAAUCAAAUUUGGUCUGAUGCACCUGUAACGGGUCCUUCAAACAACAUUUAUACACGGGUUAAUGUUUAUUUUCAAAAUCUAUCAAGAUUACCAGGAAUUUCAGCAAGAUUCGUAGAAUAUUCAUCAAUUAAAAUGAAAGAUUAGCAUCAGAUGCAAAAACUACGAGAAUUUGGGAUUAGUUAUCAGAAUUUAAUUGAACUUGCCAACAAUUCUUAGCAAGGAUUAAGAACAUUCCUAAUGGCGACUAUAAAACCGAUUAAAAAAUGUCUUAAAUCGAGAAUAGAUUUUGAUCCGGGAAGAAAUAAUAAAUUCAGCAAUGGAGAGAAAAUAUCUUGCAAAGAAGAAGCUAAGAAAGAAAAGAGAGAAGAAGUAGGGAAAAAGAAAUAAAAAUUUUCUGUUUGGUUUGGAAAAGGAAACAAGUGUUCAAAUGCAAUUAGGAAAAUGAUUAAAUAUUUAGGGGUUUCAAACUUUUAGGGGGUUGGAUAGCAAUUUAUCCCUGCUUCCGAAAAUAAAAGGAUAAUGAAGGAGAGUGAUUAGGCUUGAUCUUGAGCAUGCAAGGGAAAAGUGUAAAGACUUAAUCAUUGACUUGUUGCCCAUAAUUUGUUAAGUUUUUACUCUAAAUUAUAUAUGUUUUAAUGUGGUUUUCAUCCUAAGUUGCUAAAAAUAAAAGGAAAAAAAAUGAGAGAAGAGUGAAUAGAACCUAAGACCUUUAAAAAGUACACUAAUUACUUAACCAUGAAGCCUAGGUUAAUUUUUGAUUAAUUAUUUCAAUUAAUCUUCUAUAUUUCAAGGCGUGACAGUUAUAACUAAGAAUUAUAAUUAAUUUAUAAAUAUUUUUAAAUAUCAAUUUAAUAAUAUGUUAGAAAAAAAUAUUCUUAUCAGUUCAAAAUUUUUUCAACUCAUAUAUAUAUUAUAGAUGAUUAGAUAUCAAAUUUAAUUAUAAAAACUUAAAAAGUCCAACCCGCUGGCAUACAUGUAAAUUACCAUCAACCUAACGCUUCGUUUGUUUGCCAGUAAAAUAUUUUCCGGAAAAUGAUUUCUGGAAAAUGAUUUACUUUUCUGGAAAUGAUUUAAUUUUCUGGAAAUGAUUUACUUUUCUGGUGUUUGAAUGAAUCUGUGUAAAAUAUUUUCUAUUGUUUGGUAGAUUUCCUAAAAAUAUUUUCCGGAAAAGCUAUUUUUAUAUAUAUUAAUAAAUUUAUAUUUUAAAUUAUUUUUACAUAUAUUGCAAUGAUCAAAUUAAAUAUAUAAUAAUACUCAAUUAUUGCAUUGUUCAUUCUUCAUUCGGAUUUAUUGCAUUGUUGCUCUAGAUUUAGAUAGAGCUUCAUACUUCAUCCGGAUAAAUUGCUCAAAAACUCCAACAAAUGUAACUUUAUAAAGAGGAACAAAAAAUCAGAAAGAAAACCAUUUGUUUGACUAUAUAGAGCUAAUAAUUUAUGCAUGAACUCGAAUGUUGGAUCACAUAAACAACAUUUUGCAAGAGAACAGAAAAGAUACAUGACAAAUGCACUUAAAUGGGGGCAUGCAUACCCAUGUUACGCCAGUGCAUGAAAACUUACCUAAACAAUACCUAGAACAUCAAUAAGCCUGCACCUUGCAGAGGAAACAACAAAGCAAAGAAAGAUUAUAGCACUAUAAUGGAAUUUUCUCCACCAAUGAAGAUGGCUAUUUCAAGCAAACAAAUGGCUCUGAGUUUUAAUUGAUUUGUGCAUUCAUGAAGCUAAAAAGAAGAGCACAUAUGAAUUUCUUGAUGGACAUUUUAUAACUUUCAAUAAUUAGGUGAUCAAAAAGAUAAUUUACUAAUAAUUGAGUGAUAUUUUUUAACUUUGCAUAGUUAAGUUACCAAAAGGGAAAAAACCAUAGUUAAGUGGCCUCUACUAUAAUUUACCCAAAGAUAUAUAAAUACACUUGCAACAAUAUUUCUUAUUUCAAUUUUUGAAAAAUUUAAACUUUUAAUUAAAUUAAUAUUCGAUUAAAGUAACAUUUUUAACUUAAAAAUGUUCUAAUUUUUACCAGCAAUCUUGGCUGUUCUUUCCUAAAAGAAAAAAAAAAGAACAGAAACCUAAGCAAAAAAAUAAGUUACACGUAGUGUUGUUGUAAGUCAAAUUUUACAGGCUAUUCUCUGCCAUUUAUCAUCCACCCCCCAUUAUAAGUAUACAAGCUGUGUACAUUAAUGCAUAGAAGUUAAAACCUCCAAAACAUUAAGUUAUUGUCUCUGCCACAUUAUUACAAGUAUUUGCAUGUCUAGAGCAUAAACUACGGCUGAAAGCUAAUGGUUCUUAGAGCUGUAAGACUGAUUUAAUGAUGAAUAUACACUUCACUGACAAUGGGUUGAGCAUAAAUUCAAUCGCAGAUAAAUUUUAGCUACUUCUUUCAGUAAUCGACUCCUCUCUAGUUUCACUUUAACAUCCAUUUAGAUCCUGCCAUUUGAGGUGAAAAAGCUGGUGGUGUGCCCAGCAAUGUCGAACUUCCCGGGCAUUCACCGUUUAGGUAUCCUUGUCACAUAGGCCAAAGCUCUAAUGCCAUAAAAAAGCCCCAUCAAAACCUCAUACCCAGUUGUGUGAAGUGCCUCAGGCUGGUGCCAGAACAAGAUGAGCUUGUGAAGAAUGGGUGCUAUUCCUGACAUGCCCAUGCCAAAGAAGAGGGAUGCACGAAUGCUGCGAAACUCUGGAUUCUAAAACCCUGGCAAUAAGGAAACUAAGAUCGUUGCGACUCCCAAGAUGGUUAUGAAUCCCAAAUAGAGGUUGCAAAAGAAUGGAUCACACAUGAAGGAGUAAUACACUGGAGGAUAGAAGGAAGUAGAAAUGAGAGCCGCGAUCCCAGCAUAGUCUAGCCUGAGCAUGAUAUAUAAUAGGCGCUCAGAGUGGCAAGAGAGAAGGUGGCAUGUGAUGCUAGCCAGCAAGCAGAACAUUGCACCACCCAAGAAGGCAAAGAAAGGCCACCGUGUUAUCGGCCUCACCAUCAGGGGUGCUAUUAUGUUUGCCAAAUCCUCCUUCACGCUUUGUUGCAAUUAGAAAGAAUAAAAUGUAUUAGCUGCAUGAAACUCCCACAUGCAUAGUGUAACCAUUGGUAUUAAAAGAACAGAUAUCACUACGUCAUAGAAAACCACCGUAAUAAGACAAAGAAACAAAAUACAAAGAAGAAAUCAAAGAAUUAGAAAAAAAAAUCUGUUGUGCGGAAGCGUGUAAAAGAGUAAAAUUAUUGUACUAAAAAAUCACACUAAGUUCAAUUCCCAGGAAAGAGAGGUGGAUCACAAGGAUCGCUUAAGUACCAGGUCUUUCCUAGCCAGAAUAUCCCUCAAUCGUAAUUUAAUAGCAUAAUAAAUCACUACAAUCACACACACAAUUCAUGUAGAAUAAUACAAUAAAGAAUACAAGAAUUUAACGAGGUUCAGCAAAUUUUGCCUACAUCCUCGGGCACUACCAAAUAUAUUUCACUCCAAAAUACAAGUGAGAAUUUACAAAGAGAGAGAGAGAAAACAAUGCCUUAAGUAGAGAAUGGCAAGUUUGAGAUGCAGAAUGAGAGAUGGUUAUGCCUAUUUAUAGUUGAGGUUCAGGGAUCAACUUGCAAAGUCACUUUACAAUUAGGGACCAUAUAUUGCAAAUAUCUCAGAUUUUAUUAUGCCAAUAUCUCGAUACCCAUAUAUUUGACUUUCCAAUAUUUGAUACCCAUAUCUUUGACUUUCCAAUAUUUGAUACCCAUAUCUUUGACUUUCCAUUAUUUGAUACCCAUAUAUUUGAUUUUCCAUAAAUAUGGAUAAUUCCCAAUAAUCUCCACCUUGAAGAUUUGAUUCGAGUAAUCUUAUCAUCACACAAUUCUCUCUGCCUUUGUCAACAACACUUGAUAGUGCCUUCUUCAACUGUUAAACAUGCAGAAUAUUGAUCAAGUUCAAACAAUGUUCGAACUUGAUUGUUGUUACCACCUUGGUCAUCAUAUCUGCGGGAUUAUCUGCAGUCUUAAUCUUCUGAAGGUGAAUUUUCCCCUCAUCAAUAAUUUUCCGCACAAAGUGGAAACGUACAUCGAUAUGCUUUGUACGUGCAUGAUAGACUUGAUUCUUUGCUAAAUGAAUAGCACUUUGACUAUCACAAUACACAUUAAUAUGCUCCUGGACCAAUCCCAAGGUUUUAACCAUACCUUGUAACCAAAUAGCUUCCUUUACAGCCUCUGUUACAGCCAUGUAUUCAGCUUCUGUGGUUGACAACGCAACUGUAGACUGCAGUGUAGACUUCCAACUUAUUGGUCCUCCAGCAAGAGUAAACACAUAACCAGUGGUUGAUAUUCGUUUGUCCAAAUCACCGGCAUAAUCAGAAUCAACGUACCCAACAAGACCUUUACCAAGUGUAGUAUCCUGCUUGAACAGUAAUCCAAUAUCCAUGGUCUUAUGAAUAUACCGUAGAAUCCAUUUCACAGCUUGCCAAUGUCCUUUUCUAGGAUUAUGCAUAUACCUGCUCACUAUACUAACUGCCUGUGAAAUGUCGGGUCUUGUACACACCAUUGCAUAUAUCAAGCUACCCACUGCAUUAGAAUACGGAACUUGCAACAUGUAUUCUCGUUCCGUAUUCGUCGAAGGAGAUAGUUGUGCAGAAAGCUUGAAAUGAGAAGCCAACGGGGUACUUACAGGUUUUGUCUGCUCGUUCAUGCCAAACUGCUGUAGUACCUUUUUCAAAUACUGCUUCUGAGACAAGCUAACUCUAUCAUGAGCUCUAUCUCUCCAUAUUUCCAUGCCGAGAAUCUUUUUAGCUUCUCCUAGAUCUUUCAUCUCAAACUCGAGAUUGAGUUGAGUGUUCAAUCUUUCAAUCUCAACUUUGCUCUUAGAUGCUAUUAGCAUAUCAUCAACAUAUAAGAGCAAGUAUAUGAAAGUUCCUUCUUGUAGCUUCUGAAAAUACACGCAAUGAUCAAAUUUACUUCUUGUGUACCUUUGCCCUUUCAUGAACUGAUCAAAUCGCUUGUACCACUGCCUCGGAGAUUGCUUCAAUCCAUAAAGUGACUUUGUCAGUUUGCAAACCCAAUUUUCUUUUCCAGCAACCUUGAAUCCAUCUGGCUGAGUCAUAUAGAUUUCUUCUUCCAAAUCACCGUGUAAAAACGCGGUCUUCACAUCAAGCUAAACUAGUUCAAGAUCAUAUUGCGCAACCAAGGCUAGCAAAAUCCGAAUAGACGAAUGCUUCACAACUGGAGAAAACACUUCAUUGUAGUCUAUUCCUUCUUUCUGAGCGUAACCCUUUGCUACUAAUCUAGCCUUGUAUCGAAUUUCAUUUUUAUCAGGAAAUCUUUCCUUCCCUGGGGUAGUGUCACCAACUCCCAAGUCCUAUUUUUAUGAAGAGACUGCAUUUCUUCAUUCAUAGCUUGCUUCCACUUUACACUAUCAGAGUUACUUCUUGCUUCUGUGUAAGUAGAAGGAACAUCAUCAUCUGCAAUUGGAAGUGCAUAGGCCACCAUAUCAUCAAAGCGAGCAGGCAUACGAAUCUCUCUUCUUGGCCUUCUAUAUGCAAUUGAAUCAUGUUGUUGUAGAAGUUCUUGGGUCGAAACUUCUUCAUCAUUUGUUCCUUCAAUAUUAGCUGGAUCAUCAUUAACCUUUUCAAGCUCCACCUGCUGCAAAGUGCCACUGGUUGUGUUAUCCUUUUGUGAAUCAUUGUUCUUCAUCAUGGUUGAUUCAUCAAAAGUCACAUCUCUACUGAAAAUUAUUUUUCUUGUAUCAGGACACCAGAGACGGUAUCCUUUUACCCCAUCAGUUAUACCCAAGAAUAAUACUUUCUUUGCUCUUGGGUCUAACUUAGAUUCUUUUACAUGAUAAUAUGCAGUGGAACCAAAUACAUGCAAAGAAUCAUAAUCAGUAGCAGAUUUACCAGUCCACAUCUCCAUAGGAGUUUUUCCAUUUAUUGCAGCUGAUGGCAAACGGUUAAUUAGAUGGCACGCAUAUGUAACUGCCUCAGCCCAAAAUUCUUUGCCAAUCCAGCAUUGGACAACAUACAUCAAACUUUCUCCAGUAUAGUUCGAUUCAUUCGUUCUGCCACCCCAUUUUGCUGUGGUGUAUCCCGAACAGUGAAGUGUCGCACAAUGCCCUCAUCUUGGCAUACUUGUAGAAAUGGAUCGUUUUUAUACUCAGUACCAUUAUCUGAUCGAAGUCGUUUGACCUUUCGACCAGUCUGAGUCUCCACCAUCUUCUUCCAUUUCAGAAAUGCAUCCAAAACUUCACUUUUUCUUUUCAUUAGAUACACCCAUACUUUUCUUGAAUAAUCAUCAACAAAAGUAACAAAAUAGUGCAUACCUCCCAAAGAAGCUACUUUGGUAGGUCCCCACACAUCACUGUGAACGUAGUCCAGAAUUCCUUUCGUAUUGUGAAUUGCUGGACCAAAUUUUACCCUCUUCUACUUGCCCAGAACACAAUGUUCACAGAAUUCCAUUUUGCAAGAAUUUGCACCUUUCAAUAAGCCUUGCUUCACCAAUGUCUGCAAAGCUUUUUCACCAGCAUGUCCCAAUCGCAUAUGCCAUAAUCUGGUAGCCUCUGAAUCUACAUCUUUUGUAGAAACUGUUGAUGUUGAUCCAAUAACUGUACUUCCAUUUAAAAAAUACAAGUUAUUUCUUCUUGUGCCUUUCAUCACCGUCAGUUGCCCAGCUACUACUUUUAGUAAUCCAUCUCUCAAAGUGAUUGUGAGCCCUUUAGAUUCUAGGGCACCUAAUGAGAUGAGAUUUUUCUUCAGGCUAGGUACGUAGCGAACAUCUGUCAAGACUUGGAUUGAGCUGUCGUGAUUCUUCAAUUGGACUGUACCCACUCCCAUUGUCUUACAAGCACUAUCAUUUCCCAUAAGAACAAUUCCACCUUCUAGCUCUUUAAGACUAGAAAACCAGUCCUUAUUAGGACACAUAUGGUAAGUACAUCCUGAAUCCAAAAUCCACUCAUCCGUUUGACAUGCCAUUGCCAUGCCAACCAAGCUAAAGUCUGACUCCUCAUCAUGCUCCGCUACACAUGCAUUAGAAAUAGCCUUGCCCUUUUGUAGCUUAGGACAAUUCUUUUUCCAAUGCCCUUUUUCACGGCAAAAGGCACAUUCAUCUUUGGCGGGUCUCCCUUUGGACUUUCCCCUUCUACCAGAUUUGCUGCUGUGUGAACGACCUCUUACUGUUAAGACUUCUGCGGUUGUAUCUCUGUGAUCUCUUUUAUCUUUCUUUCGAGUCUCAGAUCUAUACAACGUACUACAGACUGCAUCAAAUGUGAUCGUGUCCUUCCCAUGAAGCAAUGUGGUGGUAAGAUGAUCAUAUUCAUCAGGAAGGGAAUUCAACAACAAUAAUGCCUUGUCUUCAUCUUCAAAUUUCUCAUCCAAAUUUAGCAAGUCUGCUAAAAUUUUAUUGAAUGAGUUCACAUGGCCAUUCAUCGACAUACCGAGUGCAUACGUGAAUCGAUAAAGUUUCUUUUUCAUAUAAAGCCUAUUUUCAAGACUUUUUGUUAGAAACUUUUCUUCCAGUGUAUCCCACAACUUCUUCGCUGAUGUCUCCCUCAUGACAGAGUACUUCUGCUCUUUGGCCAAACAUAGGCGAAUUGUUCCACAUGCCUGUCUAUUGAUCUUGGCCCACUCCUUGUCAUCUAUCUUGUCAGGUUUUUCUUCAAGGGCUAUAUCCAACUCUUGCUGACAUAAGACAUUCAGGAUCUCACAUUGCCACAUACCAAAAUUAUUGGUACCAUCAAAUUUCUCUACUUCAAAUUUCGCAUUGGUCACAGUAGUCUUUGACGAUGACUUUUCCAUUUUUUCUCCUCAAUCCCAACUACAGUACGUGAACAAUGCCGUGAACGAUUGUAUUCCCCAAGUACGAAUCUAGCUUUGAUACCAAUUAUUGUGCAGAAGUGUGUAAAAGAGUAAAAUUAUUGUACUAAAAAAUCACACUAAGUUCAAUUCCCAGGAAAGAGAGGUGGAUCACAAGGAUCGCUUAAGUACCAGGUCUUUCCUAGCCAGAAUAUCCCUCAAUCGUAAUUUAAUAGCACAAUAAAUCACUACAAUCACACACACAAUUCAUGCAGAAUAAUACAAUAAAGAACACAAGAAUUUAACGAGGUUCAGCAAAUUUUGCCUACGUCCUCGGGCACUACCAAAUAUAUUUCACUCCAAAAUACAAGUGAGAAUUUACAAAGAGAGAGAGAGAAAACAAUGCCUUAAGUAGAGAAUGGCAAGUUUGAGAUGCAGAAUGAGAGAUGGUUAUGCCUAUUUAUAGUUGAGGUUCAGGGAUCAACUUGCAAAGUCACUUUACAAUUAGGGACCAUAUAUUGCAAAUAUCUCAGAUUUUAUUAUGCCAAUAUCUCGAUACCCAUAUCUUUGACUUUCCAAUAUUUGAGACCCAUAUCUUUGACUUUCCAAUAUUUGAUACCCAUAUCUUUGACUUUCCAUUAUUUGAUACCCAUAUCUUUGAUUUUCCAUAAAUAUGGAUAAUUCCCAAUAAAAUCUGAUUGAUUCUUUUCAUUCACAAAAAACUACUUUUCUGAUAGAGCCUUCUUAACUGCUCAUACCAGUUUUACAACCUCUUUAACCCUGCAACUAACAGUAACUAACAACAUUACUGCUAUCACCACUUAACUUUCCAAAAUUAUUAAGGAUAACAAUUUCCAGGGAGACAAGAUAAGACAUGAAAUGUUCAUGCAUACACAUUUAUCUUAAAAUUGUAUCCACUAUGGAUCCAUAAGGUUAAAACUGGCAGCUGCAAAAAAUGUUACAGGAUUCAAGCAUCGCUACCCUCUCAUUUUUCAGACUCUGAAGUGCACUUCCAGUAAGAUCCUAUUAACAUGAAUAUACUAAAAUAAACUUUUGAACUAUCACAAUCGUGGCAGUUGAUUUCCCAUUGCAAGGACGCUAGCAAAAUAAACUACAUACUUCGUAUUUAGACCUGCUCAUGGGUCGGGUUACUCGGCCCGGCCCGAAGGCCCUCCCGAAAUGUGAGAGGGUUUGGGCAAAAAUAAAGGCCCGAAAAAUGGGCUUGGACAAAAAAAUAAAGCCCAUUUAAAAAACGGGUCAGGCUUCGGGUAAGGUAUUUUUUGCCUGAGCCCGGCCCGGCUUGGCCCGAAUUCACUAAAUGACAAAAAAAAUCUGCUAUUUCUUGUUUUUUAAUGUUAUUUUCUUAUUAAUUUUGUUAUUAUUUUAAAGGCAUUUGUUAAUUUUGUUAUUAUUUUAGAUGUAUUUGCUUGUUAAGUUGCAUCUAUCUUAGUGCUAUUUAAGUCUACAUAUUUUUUAAAAUUUAUUUUCAAUUUGUUGGAAAAUAUUUAUUUUGAUUUUUUAGUAUUUUUGAUGUAUUAUAUAUAUUUAAAAAUUAUAUAAAAUAAUAUAAAAAAUAAUAUGGGCGGGUCGGGUCGGGCUCGGGUUUUAGCAUUUUUAUUUGGGCGGGGUUGGGAAAAAAUUGUAGGCCUAUUUUUUAGGCCCGGCUCGGCCCGAGCCUAAUGAAUGGGCCUAAAUUUUUAGUUGAGCCCAACCUAAACCCGGCCCGACCCGACCCAUGAGCACCUCUAUUCGUAUUUAAAGUUCCACAUAUUGUGUUCAAAACAUUGUAAGUUAAGGGGAAAAAAAUCUACAAGACAGACAUAUACCAUAUAGGAUGUUAUAUGCUUAAAAAAGAUUUCCCUGGAUAACAAUACUAAGCUUUCCAUGGUUUUUGCUUAUAAGAGAAGCAUUUAUUGAACCAUGUCAACACGGUAGAUAUCAACUUUAUAACUUAGCACCUAUGGCUAUAAUCAUAUGCCUUUAAUUGUUUAUAAAGAUUCUUGAGUAAAAAUUUUUAGCAGGAAGUAUACUAACAGAAAGGCCUAUUUGAUGCCCACAGGUCUUUCAGUUCUUCACAUUUAUUGACCCAUAAUACUAAAACUUUAUGGAUAGGUCUUAGGAUUAUAAUUCCUUUCACUGACAACAAUAGGACAGAGGAAAAGAAGUCUUUAUGGAUUCUCUGCCUCAGAAACAAGAUUCAGUGUUGUCAGGGCAUGCGCCUAGGCACACCUGAGCUGUGCGCCUUAACACUAGACAACAGAAGUGCCUCAAACCCUUUCAGGUAAUACCCAUUUAACCAGGCACACACCUUUUUUGCAAGGCAAUAGGAAUAAAAAGCAUCCGCCUCAUAUAAGUUCUCUUUAAUUUAAUUUAAUUUUCACUUUUUUCAUUAGAUAUACCUUUACCAAUAAGAAAGGGUUAGUAUUAAACUCUAUCCUUAUCAAAAUUCGUGUAUUAAACAAUAGACAUGAACCAUAAGUAAAUCAUGUAUAUUGACCAAUAAUAGAAUUGCAUGUUUUGUAGAUAUAGAUCACACUUUAGAGUUUAUUAUAUAUCUUAUGCUAUAUAUAUAGACAUAGAAAAAUGCACAGAUAUACAUAUUGCACUUCAUUUCACUCAAGCUACUACUUUUUUUUUUACACCUUGCACCUGAGGCUACAAGAGUAGCCCCUUCCCCGGUAAGGCAGCAACCCAACUAUUUCUUUCUUGCCUGGAGGCUUUUCUUAUUCUAAAAUUUAUGAUAUUCACUAACCUAUAAAAUCCAGAGUCCUUUAUUACAGAAUAAUUUAAGGCUUUCUUAAUUUCUAUAAUUCACCACCAGAAAUCUAAUUAAUGGGAUAUCAGAAACCCAAAACCUUUCUCUAUUGCUCACAGAGACUUAAACAUGUAUUUCACUAAAUUUGGCUCAAACAUAAACCCAACAUAAAAAUCUAAAAUUAUAUUGCAGCGAAAGAAGCUAUAAUUGACAUACUUGCAUAUUAUCUUUAUAGUGUUCAAGUAUCAAAAUUGAUAUGAAGUACAGGAAACUUCAAAGAAGAUAGAGGCAACCAUUUCCUAACAUUGAUGAAAAAACCACACCAAAACCUUGAAUCGACAGAAUUUACCCAAACCCAGAAAAAGAGCUUUAAAAAGAACAAGAAGAAAAUGUGGACAAGUAAAGAACAAGAAAAAAAAAGCUUUAAAAAACGAUGCCAUUCCUUAAGUCAAGACCUUGCGAAGAGGAAUGAGAUUUGCCUCAGAAAGAGAGAAAGAGAGGAAUGAAAUUUGCAGAAAGAGAGAAAGAGAGAAAGAAGAUGAAGAACGGAAAGAAGGGAGAAGGACUUUUACCAGGAUGAAGAAGAAGAUGGAAAAUGUCUUACAGAAAAAAAAUCCUUAAGGCAUUUUCCCUAAAAUGAAUGAGAUUUUACCCGUGUCUUGGAAAAUAAUUUCCAAAACAGAGCCUAAAUGAAACUUUAGUUACCAAAUCAUACCAGUUAAAAAAUUAGAGUAAAUUAUAUUAUUAAUUACUUAAUUAUAGUACAAUUAUUUUCUAGUUACUCAAUUAUGAAAAGUUACAAAAUAAUCAUCUAAUUAUUCAUUUUUUUAUUUUUUGUCACCGGCUGGCUAACGUGUAAAAAGAAAAACCCAAAAAUCAAAUAUAGUUGAGUAGCCAAAGAAAAAAAUUACUAAUAAUUAGGUGACUAGUACUAUAGUUUACCCUAAAAUUUAAAGGUAAAACUUUUCAAAUGAAUGCAUUUUAUAAUAAUUAAUAAAAUAAGAGUUAUAUUAAGUACUGAAAAGUUACUCAACUAUCUUAGAUUUUUGUUAUUUUUAUUUUAUUUUUUACUCUAGUUAUUAAAAAAGAUAAAAUUAAAUAAUUGGAUAACCAUAUUGUAACCUUUCAUACUUGGAUGACCAAAAAAGAAACCUAACAAUAAUUGAGUGAUUGAAUUUUUUUUUACUAAUAAUUAUGUGACUAAUAAUAUAAUUUACCUAUAAAUUUAAAGGUAAAACUUUCCUUAUGAAUGCAUUUUAUAAUAAUAAAUAAAAGAAGAGUUAUAUAUAAAAUUGAAAAGUUGUAACAAAUUGGGGUGAUAAUAUAUCCGUGAAGCACUCCCCACCAUGCUAAUACCACCAAGCUAAUAAUAAACUAAAAAUAACCAUUAAUUUGCUAAGAAAAUGGUUACUUUGGUAGUAUAAAUAGGGCAUUUCAAUGAUGUAUUAUUCAAGCCAAGGGGCAAUAAGUAAUAAGCAAUAAGCAGCCCCACAACUUCAAAAGGUUUUUUUUUUUCUUUUCCUAUCUCUGUUUAAAAUCUAUUUCAAGGGAAAGGAGGAGGAAAAUUUUAUAAUUUUUUGAGGGUUUUUUAAGAAUAAAUAGAAAACUAUGGCGAACAAUGCUGCUGUUAUUGGUAUCUGUUCAGUGUUCUUGGUGGCAGCAGUGGUGGCAACAGUGGUGGGUGUCACGCAUUUAAAAAACAACGGUGAUUCGAAAAGCGGUGAAAUAUCGAGUUCGACAAAAGCAGUGCAGACGGUUUGUCAACCCACACAGUUCAAAGAGGUAUGCGAGAAGAGCCUGGAGUCAUCUAAUUCCACCGACCCUAAAGAGCUGAUAAGGACGAGUUUCCAAGCAGCGAUAGAGGAAAUAAGGAAAGUGUUGGCGAAUUCAGCGACGAUACAAGACUUGAAUAAAGAUGACAACAACAAAGCAGCCCUUAAGGUUUGUAAAGAAGUGUUGGAUUUAUCAAUAGCUGACCUGCAACUUUCAUUUGAUAAGCUGGGGGGAUACGAGAUGAGUAAGAUCGGUGACUACAUACUGAACCUGAGGGUGUGGUUAAGCGGUGCCUUAACUACCUUACAAACAUGUGUAGACUCAUAUGCGGAAGUAAAUAAUGAACAAGCGGAGAAGAUGAAUUCAAUUUUGAAGACUUCAAUGGAGCUUACCCAAAAUUCUUUAACCAUGGUGACUAAGUUAUCCACCAUCUUGAAUGGCCUUAAAAUUCCAGGCCUCAAUAUCGACACGACUGGGUUCGAACGUAAGCUCCUGUCUAACGAUGGACCUGAGUGGAUAGGCCACGCUGAAAGGAGACUACUUCAAGCAAAACCAACAGAUUUGAAGCCUAACGUUGUGGUUGCUAAGGAUGGUAGUGGAAAAUAUG
rnacentral:lncRNA from 1 species